rnacentral:lncRNA from 1 species
AUGAAAUGUUAAGACUCCAUGUAACUCAAACAUUUCCGCAAUGAGCGGGAGUUCUAAAUUUAAUAAUUGAAAUUGUCAGUGGAACCAGUGGACAAGAGUUGGUUUGUGGUUGACAAACUUAUCCGUUUGAUCUUUACUUGAACAGUUCCAGUGUGUGGAUGGGUACUGAUGAAGUGUGCGCAUUUAUUUUGAGAAGCCUGCUUGUUCGCAUAGAUUUUAACGACAUGAACAUUGUGGUAAGGUUAGAGAGUAAUGCGAAUGUAGGAGCUUAUAUUAGAAAUGACACAAACACGUAAAUAGAAGUAAUCUAUAUAUGAUAUUACUCAUGGACUACAAGCAAAGAAGUACAAUACAUGGAGUAAGUGAUGAAAUGAGCAUUCCUCACUACUACUGCUUGACUGAUGGAACAUGAUGCACGAGAUAGCAUAAGUAGUAGUAGGAAGCAGCUCUUAUUUGUGGCGUCGGUAUACAUCAUACUAGGUAGAUGGUUCAAUUGGCAUGGAUGGGUGGUGGAGCCUUGAAGUGCUUGUGAUGGGGAGCCCACGGCUUCUUCUCAGGAGUUGGUGGCUUCUUGUAUGGAGUUGAUGGAGGUGUUUCUACUGGAGGGUGGCCAGGGUAGUGACCCUGGGGUGGUGAAGGUUCUUUUGUCGGUGGUGGCCUCACUAUUAUUGGCGGUAGAGUUGGUGGCUUGGGCGUUGGCGGUGGUCUCACUACUCUUGGGGGUAGAGUUGGUGUCUUGUGUUUUGGUGGUGGAGGUGGCUUAACAGGAGUUGGUGGCUUGUAUUCUGGGGGUGGUUUCUCCACCGGAGGUGGCUUAUAAACUGGAGUUGGUGGCUUGUAUUCUGGGGGUGGCUUCUCCACUGGUGGUGGCCUGUAAACAGGGGUUGGUGGCUUAUAUUCUGGGGGAGGCUUCUCCACUGGAGGCGACUUAUAAACAGGGGUUGGUGGCUUGUAUUCCGGGGGUGGCUUCUCUACGGGAGGUGGCCUGUAAACAGGGGUUGGUGGCUUCUCCACCGGAGGUGGCUUAUAAACGGGGGUUGGUGGCUUGUAUUCUGGGGGUGGUUUCCCCAGUGGUGGAGACUUGUAAACAGGAAGAGGUGGUUUGUGCUCAUAUGGGGGUGGCUUGUGGUCAUUAGCAAGUGAGGGAGUGGUGAGGACCACCAAUCCAAGGAACAACACGAGUGAGCAAGCAGAAGACAUGUUUGGGCUCUGGUGAUGCACAAGUAGAAGAAAUGGGAACCAUUUAUAAUGCUUCGAGACCUUGGUUAGCACCAAAAUAUGUCAAAAUCUUGAUUACUUCAUUUCAUACAUAGAUUUAAAAUUAUUUCAAUCAACCAUGAUCCUUAAUUUUCUGGGUGGUCCAUAAAUGUAAUGGGGUCAAUUUGGGACCUAACAAGCUGAGAAGUUUGACAAUGCUGCAAGGCUUCAUCCGAAAGUCCGGGGAAGAAUAUUAGGAGUUACACUCCGUUUCCUUUUUUGGGUGCAUUUUUCUCCUUUAACAUUCUAUUCCCUUUUACAUUAGCAUUUGAUCUUAGCUCAUUUCAAGUACAAGUUUCUUGAACCCUAUACCAUUGUCAAAGUUGAGUAACCAUCUCUACUUUGCUCAAGAAACAUAAAAGACAAUGACAAUAAAGAAAAAGGAGAGAGACCAUACGUGACUUGGUUUAUAGGUGGCUUUGUGUUGACAUUUGAGUAUGGAAGCCGACAUGCAUCUUAGCUUCGAUUUUAAUUAAAUUUGUACAUUAGUGUCUGUGUCAUUCAUUUUGGUAUAAAAGGUCUCUUGAUUUCGUAAGUUUGGUAAGAACCGUUGAAAAUAGCAGUAGCAGCACAUGGUCCACUUUCUUUCACAAAAUAAUUUUAAAAGUUUAGAAGCAUAGGAGGUAACAUUAGUGGCCUUGUGGCUCAGCCACGAGUACUAUGUGGUGCUCGAGAAAUUGAGUUUAAUUUCCUUCCGAUAGUUCAUGAUAAGGUCCGUCACUGUCCUGAGACAGAUUGCGUUUUUUCUUUUUUCCUUUUUUAGUGUUUUAUUGACUAGCUAGGUGUGACUUUUCCUACUUUAAGGCACGAGGCAGAAAAGAAACUGGGAUUUAGUGCUUAAGAAGGCAAAUUUAAUUCGAUUUGGAUCUAAAAUUUGCCAGCAACAUGAGAUUUUCCAGCCUAUCGUUGCUCCACAUAUAGACAAGGCACUUGUAGAAGUGGCUUGUUUGUAGCCAUUCCCGAUAUUUGGACUCACUUGAUUCACCGGACACUUUGAUAAAAUUUAAUAUUUAUUAUUUAAUAAUUUAAAUUGAUUUAAAAUUAAAUUAUACCGAAGUUGUGAUUUAAAAAUUAUUAUUUAAUUCUUACUUUUAAAUAUGAAGAUUAUUUGAUAAAAAUAAUUUAAAAUUUAUUAUAAAUUAUCAAAUUAACAUAUUUAUCCUUAUAAAUUAUAAUUAAAACAGAAAAGGUCAAAUGAUUUGAGUAUCCAUAGAUGUGGUAAAAUAAUAAAAAAGAUUAUAAAAACAAUUAUGAUAAAUAAAGAUAAAAAGUAAAAUGAAUAUGUGAAUUUAAAGAAUAAAUUAAUUAUUUUUAUUUAUUACUUAAAAUUAUUUUUGACUUUAAAUUAUAUUAUUAAAUUAUUUUACCAAACAUACUUAAUUUAGUUAAUAAUUUAAAUUUAAUUUAAGUUAUUAAAUUGAUUCACCAAAUACCCACUUAAUCAAAGACUGAAGUAUACAUUAUUUGGCCAAAUGCAGCUAUUGAAAUUUAACUUUUUCCAAACUUAUUCAUUUUGUGGAAAUAUUUUUAGAAAUGAUUUUAAAAAUGCACUAUUCUGUGUGUUGAUUUUAUAUUUUGGCAUUAAUCCAACAUAGAAAACGGUUCUUAUUUUCGCUGUUAAAUAGGUACCAGAUCCUUAAUUAGUGCCGUGAAUCCGGCAGCUUCCAAUGAGUAAUUUGGACUUGGGUAUUGACAAUGUGUGGCCAUGCUUCUACUAUUUUAUUAUUCUUGAAACAUAUAUGAUAUAUUGGACUUUAUACAGGGAAAAAAAAAAAAAAAAGUCUUCACCAAAAAUGAUUCCUCCUAAAAAAUAGACUCCACAAACUAGGUUUAACAGGAAAAUGAUUCUAAUCUAGUAGUUUCCAGCCACAUGAGCAUUUACGUAACAAUAGUAUAGUUGAUAACGACUUUUAUUUUAUUUAUUUUUAAAUAGUUAAAGGGAUAAUUUUUGAGCUUAAAUUUUAUUUUUUUAUUUAGAAACAUUUUACUUUAUUUUUUAAUCAUAAUUCUAUUAUAUUAAUGUUUUAUUUUCUAUUUUUUAAUAUAUAAGGAGAUACUAAAUUUAUGUGAUUAUUUUUUAAAAAUUUAGUAUAUGAAAUUAAAUAAUUGGAUAUAUAUACAUAUAUCAUAUAAUGUUUUUUAAGUGUGAUUUUUGAACUUUUUAGUCAUUUUAUAAGUUUAAGCUUUUGAUUUUUUUUUUUAAACUUUGGUAUUUUUUAUUUUAUAUAAAACUAUUUUGAUUUAAUUUUAUUAAAAAAUAUUGGUAUUAUAAAUUAUUGUAUUAAUUAUUUUUUUAUAUUAUAAUGUAACUGGUAUAUACUAAAAAAUGUAUGCAAGUUCAAUUUAAGUUUCAAAUUAAAAAAUUUCAUUUAAAUAUUUAAUAACUUGUUCAUAAUAAAAAAUUAAACAACAUAAUACAAAUGAAAAGAAACAUAAAAGAAAAAGGAAAAAAUGGUCCUCUCUGUGUGUCACAUUACUAGGUCAUCCUCUUUUUCUAUGACCCUUACAAUAGAAUGGCAUAUUUGUCAAAUCUACUUAUGAAAGUUGGAAUGUUUCUACAUGUGUAGGGUCCAUUGGAACUAAUGGAGGAAAGGCUUAACGUCUAUGUAAAUCACAACGUUGCCUAGGUGGGCAUAGAUCUAGUUGUGUAACAUGAGAUGGUGUGAGAGUACAAUAUAUGCAUUGUAGUCUCUAUGGGAAGAGAGAUAGGUAAUGGUAGGGUGGUAGACGGUAGGGUGAUCUCUAAUAUAAUGACAUUUGAUGUGGUGGCUUCUAAGAGAGGAGAUAUAAGAGAUGGUAGAAUGACAUUUGGUGUAAUGGUCUCUAGUGCAAUGACAUGUGAUAUGGUGACCUAUAAAGAAGAGAUAUAGGUGAUGGUGAAGUGGUAUGUGGUGUAGUGACCUUUGAGAUAGAAAAUAGAGGUAAUGGUAGGUUGGCAGGUGGAGUGGUCUUUGGUGUAGUGACAUCAAUUAUAAAUGUCUCCAAGGGAGGAAAUAAAGGUGAUGGUAGGUAGUAAAUGUUGAGGUGGUCUUUGAUAUGUUAUGCUCUAAGAGAGAAGGUAUAGGUAAUGAUAAUAGGGAAUUUGACAUAGUGGUGUUGGAAAUAAAAAGUGAAAGUGACCGUAGAGGUGAAAGGGCAAGUGUAAAAGCCUCAAGUACGAAUGGAGUAAUUAAUGUGGAUGGUGCUAACAUAGUCUUAGGUGGAUACACAAAUAGUCAUAGUCAUCAACUAGCUUGCCCACCAUCUGUCUUUCUGCUAGUGAUAGGUUACAUCUUAAUAGUAAUGGCCAACAUAAGUGGUGUGGAUCCGAUUUUUUUACGUGUGUCCCCACUCAAUCGACAAGACUUAUUUUUUAUUAGUGAAAAAUUAAUUUUGGAAAAGUUGGAGUCACCACUUAUUUUAUUUUAUUUUAAAAAGGAAAGUAAAACAAGAAAGAGAACUCUAAAGAAGUGACUUCAUAGUUUUGGAAAAGUUAGUCUUAAAAAAUCCAAGUCUUGGUCCGGAGAUCAGGUUACUUAUUGGGAAGAUACCUCUAAGAGGUAAUACCCCUCUAAACCCUAAAGAAGUCUCUAAUGACUAAGUUGAGGAGAAUGUGGUAAUUAAUUAAUUGAUUGAGGGUACCUAGGUAGACUAAGGUGAUUUCAGAAUUAACAUACCAAGCUAGAAAGUCCAAUCAUGAUCAUAAAAGAGAGUCAAAGUAUGUACCUGAACUGCUUCUCAAACGCUAUCAUAAAACAUCAAAGUUAGUAUAGAAAUAUAACACAUAAUAUUUGUUUUAUCCAAGCAAAUAAAGCAUACAUCUAAGCACCCAAGAAUCACAUCAAGUAUGGAUAUAGUCAUCAAUAGCAUACGUGUCCAUAGAACUAUCGAAAGUAAAUGUGGAGGAGCGUAUCUGGACAACAUAGAUAACUUAUAAUGUGCUUCCACAAGACAUGGGGGUUAGAUAAAAGUUAUAAUAAUAAUUAGUAAAUGAAAGAAUUCUAGCAUGUUUGGUAUCUAAAUAACAUAGCAAAAAUGAACAAGAGUACACGAAAACAUCAAUUAUCACACGAGUCAUAUUGGCUAGUAUUUAAUCAAUAAACCAACAAUAAAUGACUAUAAACAUAUAAAAUGACAUAUUCAAAGAGACCCAAACAUAAAGAGCCUAGAACACAAGCUUACACUAAAUUUAGAAAACUAAAACAUGGAAUUUUAAAAGCAUAAAUUAGCAAACAAAUUGAUGGAAACUAAAUUUAGAUAACUUAAGAAUAUUUUUCUUAUCCUUCAAUUUAAAUCAGUAAGCCAACAAUAAAAAAUUAUAGAAACAUGGAAUAUCAAGAUCAAUGGGAUACCUAAACUAUAAUUUUUAAAAGAAAAUAAACUAAGCAUAAUAUCUACAAAGCAACUAAACUAACAUUUUUUUAAAAAUAAAUUAAACAUGACAUUAAUGGAGUAACCAAACUAAAUUAAAGUAAACUAAAAACAUUUAUGAAUUUUCAAACAUGGAAUCAGCUUUCUUAGUAAAUUAAAAUUAUUAAAAUAAAAUCUAAGCUUAAAAAUGAAUUAAAUACUAACUAAAGCAAAUCUAAAACCAAAUAUUUAACACAUAGGAUCAAUUAUAUUAACAAACUAAAAUUUUAUAAGAACACUUAAACCUAAAGUUGAAUUAAAAACUAACCAAUUUUUAAAACUAGAUCUUUAACCCAUAGGAUCAAUUAUAUUAACAAAUAAAUAAUAAAUAAUAAAUAAAUAAAACUCAAACCUAAAGAUGAACUAGAAAUGUACCAAAGUAAAUUCAAAACAAGAUCUUUAACACAUUAGAUCAAUUAUAUUGACUAACUAAAAAAAAAAAAAAAAAACACUCAAACCUGAAACGAUGUAUUAGAAACUAACCAAAGCAAAUUUAAAAUAGAGUCUUUAACACAUAGGAUCAAUUAUAAUCACUAACUUAAAUUACAAUUUUUGAAACAUGAACUAAUUAGUGUUGGAUUAAUUAAACUAAUUAACUAAAAAAAACUAUAAACUAGAAUACGGUGAAUCAAGAAUUCAAAUCAACAAACAUAAAAUAUGGGUACAAUGAAAUGAAAAUCUAUUAAACUAAUAAGACGGAAAUAUGACAAACUCAUGAACCCACAUUUUGAUCAACUAGGAAAUAGAAAUUAAUAGACCUGUAGCAUGGAUACAAUGAAAUGAGAUCAGUUAAAUUUAUUUGCCGAAAUUCUAAAAAACACAUACACUCAAAUAAGAUCUAAAUCUAAGACCAAGCAAAACUCAAACUUUCUCAAUCUAAUGCAAUGAAUCAAAACUAAAAUUAAAUAGAAAUCAAACCAUUUUUUUUUUAUCUAAUAUAAUAAAUCAAAGCUAAAACUAAACAAAAUCGAAUUUUCUUAAUUUAAUAUGAUGAGUCAAAGCUAAAAUUGAACAAAGUUCAAACCUUUAUAUAAUGGAUCAAAGUUAAAUCUAAAUGAAAUCCAUACUUCCACAAUUUGAUAUAACAAAUCAAAAAUAAAACUAGAUAAAAAAAAAGUCAAAGCCUUUCAACUUGACAUAGUGAAUCCAAACUGAAACGAAACAAAAUUUUAACUUUUCCAAUGAAACCCAAUAUAGAAAAAAUUAGCUUACCUUCUUUAGAAUAUAUGUAUGGGCCAUAAAGAAGUCACCUUGGUGCAUGUGUUCCUCACUUUGACGCCAAUGGACGACUUUCUAUGGUAGCAAAUGGAGAUCCUUUUUGGUGGUAACUUGCGUGUGGAAACCUAUGGUACAACCAAUGUCAUCUUUUAUUGUGCGUGUGGACCAAUUUCUUCUCGAGAACUCAUGUGUGUUGUGCUCAAAAUAUGUUGCCUGUGAGAAUCUAUUGGUAUACCCCACAUAUGGUUUCCUUGAGAGAAUCUGUGGUUGUGUGUGGGCGUUUUCUUCAUGACAGCAUGUGGAUGUUCCCAUCUAUGGUAGAUUGGUUGUGAUGCUUUAGUGCAUGGUCUCCAUAGGAAUAGUGUGUUAUGGAAAUUUGGUUUUUUUAUUGGUGCAUGUUGUCUAGACUUUCCCAUAUGCGUGGACUGUGUGUUCAUGCUUUUCUUUUCGGAUGGUCGCCUGUGUUAAUGUGUGGCGGUGUCUACAAUGAAAGAUACAACCCUUUCUCUCCUUCUGCGUGAUAGAAAAGUCAAUCCCCCAUGGUGCGACUAUGUUCCCUCGUCCUUUUUGAAAAAUUUUGGUGUUUUCCCCCCAAAAAAUCCCCUCCAAAAAUCUAAUUAUAAAUGUCUGCUUUGGCCUAAUGUGUGUGCUACUUUUUUUUUCCUUCUUUUUAUGGUUGUGCGUGCUUUUCUUGAUACGUGGCUUAUUUCUUAAGGAUAUGAUUCGCUCCCAAUUGGUGUCUCAGCUGAUUCAUGUCCUUUCAAUGGUCCCUGACAGUGGUGCCAUUUGAUUCGUGUCCAGCUGGUGUCCCUUGAUUGUGGUCCUCAGAAGGGAGUAAUCAAUAAAAUUUAUAACCUAUUACACCAUGUAUUAGGAUAGCCUUAGCUAGCAUAGCAUAGUGGCUCUAGGGUCGUUUAUUGGGAUGAGUUUUCACUUCACAAUUGAUAUUAAUUCAAGAGCUGAAUUGGUGCCUUUUCAUUUCAAGGUUAGCUUUAAAAGAAAACAUAAUCUUUGGUGGAAAAAGGUUUGGUUUUAAACUAACCAAAAAUAGUAACUGAUUUUACUUACAAAGAAAAGUGUUCUUUGGAGUUUAGAUCACUAGGCUCAGGUUCCUCAUACAAAAAGGAGAGUUCCGAUCAUUUGUUUCUUUUCCUCGCAUUAGAGAAUUAACAUAUAGUUAAUUCUCUAACCGGUGCGGUACAUAUGCUUCCCAUUAAUGGGUUCAAACACUAAAUACCUCUCACUGAUGCACCUUGCAAUGGCUCGUGCCUCUCACCUAGCAUUUAUCAUUCAAGGUGAUCUUUAACCUUGGAUUACCCAUCAAAAGCUCGCAAGAGAUAACUAAAGGAUGUCUCCUUAGAGUCCAAAAGCUUACCAAGUGUUGGUUAUUCUAGAAAAUCCUACCUUCAAACCACCUCCCAAAGGCUCGCAAGAGAUAAACAAGUGCAUCUCAAUGGAUGAAGAUCACUUGCCUUACCAAGUUUUGGCCCAGAUGAUUUAAUGACAUUUUAAGUUAACUAAAAAGAUAAAAACCAUUAACGGGUCACACUUUCUCUUCAUUAAAAACUAAAACAACAAAACUUCCAAUUUAUGCAUGAGGAAACUUACCUGGCUUUCUUCACUUCAAGAGAUGAAGAGCCUAGCCACUCAUCAUUUGAGGAAAAAUCCUCAGAGUUUGAUUUGCUAGAAAUAAAAAUAAUGAGAAAACAAAAAUAUAUAUAUGAAAAACAGAGCAAGUUCUCUGUAAUAUAUUUUUCUUCCUUAUACAAAAGGUUGUCUCUAAGAACAAGUUCCCGAGAUCUAUCUGAUUGUAAAUAAAAUUACAACUAUAUAUAAGAGGUUAUUCACCCCUUUGUUCUUUCUUAAAGACUAAGGAAUCCUAUGAUAGGUGGGUUACAAGGAGAGUUUGGGGAUUUAGACAUCAAAUAUCUAAAGCAAAAUAUCUCAAGAUGUUAGUCGGAAAUAUCAGGAAGCUUCAGGAGAACACCGCGACACUGUAUACUGAGAGAAAAACUCUCCGGGUAAGCUCUAUCAAAGGAUCCAGACAUGUCUGACUGGGAAAGUUGAAACGUCCUUCUCUCCCAUCCGGAUGUGAGAUAUCCGGAGAAAGUGAAAUGUCGGUCGGACAGAAUUCUUUCCCCGGGUGGAAUGAGUUGUGUUGCGCGUCGCAAGGGGGACCGUCUGCGUGUACAAGUUGUAGGGACCCCUCUCCCGGAUGACACCGAGCGCGUAAGGCUAUCCGGAUCAACUCCAUUCGGAUUCCCCAAGAGGACAUGUGGCGUGCUCCCCUAUCAGGACUCCCUUAGGGAGAAGCACACGACACUCGUGAACAUCAUACCCGGACGAUAGCAUGUCCUAUCCGGAUGUGUUGUCCGGAUCAUUGACUAAAGUGAGCAAGCCUUGCUACGUCAUUCGGACAGCUUGCCACAUACCAUGUUCCGUCGCCAUCUGAUGGUGUGUCCGAACGCCUUGUCCGGACAUCUUUUGCUCCUUGCAUUCCGGAUUUGCUUAUGACAAAGGACUUCAAAGCUUCGGUUCUUCAUGUUUCUGAGCUUUCCAUUGCUUUGCCAUGGAUUCCAAAGAACUCUCCUUAAUCACGGAUUGCUUUGGUGAUCAAAAAGUUAUCAAAACACAAAAACUUAACAUAGUUUGAUUAGAAUUGAUUGCAAGGGUUCUUAAUAUGUUAAUUGGGUUAAAAGGUGAUAACUACUACUCAAAAGUGUUUAUAAGAAUUAAUUACAAGCUAUGAAAUAACACUUUUUGAGUAGUAAUCAGGAUACAUCCUAGUUUUUCAUGGAAUUGAUAGUGGGUUGUUGUGCAUGAAUGCCACCAUUUCAACUAUGCUGUUGUUAUUUUUAAAAAAAAUAUGGAUUAUGCGCGAGUGGCAAUUCUCCACUAUGGAAAGUGGAUUGCUCCUUCAACCCAUGCAUGGCUACGUAUUCCUAUGUCUUUCUACUUGUGUUUGAUCCUCCAAAAAAAAUUUCGGUUUAGUGCUAGUAGAUUUUAAGUGGUGGAUCCCCAUUUUUUGAAAAUGAAGUGGCAGCCUCCCAUUUCAAGACAAAAUGGUAGCCUGCCUUUAAUCUUUGGAGAAAAAUCUGUGCAUGACCUUUUUUUUUCCCAAAAAAUCCGUGCAUGGUGUCCUUUAAUAUUUGGAGAAAAAUCUAUGUUGGAUCUUUUCUUUUCUAGAAACAUUUGUGUGGUCUUUUUUGUUAGCCCAAGGGUUCUUCUAAUCAAGUUUUGAUGAUAACAAACCAUGGUUAAGUGACUAAUUGGUUUAAUGAUUAAGAAUCUCAAACAUAAAAUCGAAAAUUCAUCAAAGGACCAAAUGGAUACAAGAUCGAGACGCUUGGAAGACUUGUAAUCAUAGGAAACUAAUGUAAGAUGAAUGCAUGAGUGCACUUAGGAUUUUCACACGUUUCAUGCAACUUAGAAAACCCAGUUUAUUCUUUAAAACUUCAUCCCAGUUUAUUCUUUUUAUGGUUGUGUGUGCUUUCCUUGAUACGUGGCUUAUUUAUUAAGGAUACAUCCCAGUUUUUCAUGGAAUUGACAGUGGGUUGUUGUGUGUGAAUGCCACCAUUUCAACUGUGCUGUUGUUAUUUAAAAAAAAAAAAAAUGGAUUGUGCGCGAGUGGCAAUUCUCCACUAUGGAAAGUGGAUUGCUCCUUCAACCCAUGCAUGGCUACGUAUUCCUAUGUCUUUCUGCUUGUGUGUGAUCCUCCAAAAAAAAUUUUGGUUUAGUGCUAGUAGAUUUUAAGUGGUGGAUCCCCUUUUUUUGAAAACUAAGUGGCAGCCUCCCAUUUCAAAACGAAGUGGUAGCCUGCCUUUAGUCUUUGGAGAAAAAUCUGUGCAUGACUUUUUUUUUCCCAAAAAAUCCAUGCAUGGUGUCCUUUAAUAUUUGGAGAAAAAUCUAUGUGGGAUCUUUUAUUUUCUAGAAAAAUUUGUGUGGUCUUUUUUGUUAGCCCAAGGGUUCUCCUAAUCAGGUUUUGAUGAUAACAAAUCAUGGUUAAGUGACUAAUUGGUUUAAUGAUUAAGAAUCUCAAACAUAAACUCGAAAAUUCAUCAAAUGACCAAAUGGAUACAAGAUCGAGACGCUUGGAAGACUUGUGAUCAUAGGAAACUAAUGUAAGAUGAAUGCAUGAGUGCACUUAGGAUUUUCACACGUUUCAUGCAAUUUAGAAAACCCAGUUUAUUCUUUAAAACUUCAAUUUCAUUAAAACCCGAGUUUUUAACUAAUGUACCUUAGGCAAAAUGUUUUAUAAUUGGCUUAAUAAUUCACCUAAAUACAUUUUCUAAGUGUUAGAAAAGAAAGGAAUUAAAAAAAGGUUUUCGGGGCAAAAAAGGCUCAACCGGUCGAGGCUAUGGUCAACCGGCUCAACCGGUUGAGGAACCAAUCGAUCGGUUGUGCUUGUCCGAUCGAAGACCAAUCGAGGGAUGCCAAAAAAUUUCUCUCUCUCCUAGUGGCCUUCUCUUCCCGGUCGAGGUUCGGUCUAGGCAACGGUAACAUGUCAAGCAUUAAAUGCUCCGACGACUAGUGAAUCGGUCGACCCCUAGCCCGAUCGGACGAGGUUGCCUUUUGCUGUUUUUGACUCCCGAGCUUAGAAACCUAUAAAUUGAGAGCUCCACUUCAUUUAUUGAUAAAAGAGAACACUUGCAUUCAAUAGUCUACCUACCUUUUCUUGAUCAAAAAGCUCUCAUUUCCUUCAUAGUGCAUUAAAUCAUCACUUGCAUAUCCUUUAGUGCACUAUUGUGUGUCAUCCUAGCUUUGUUUUGUAUUUGAGCUAUCCUUAAGCUAGGUUGAGGGAUUAUUUCUUAUAAAAAUCUGAGUGUUAAAGCCUUCAAGAGAUUUGAAUCUUGAAGAGAUUGUGUAAGAGCCCAUUGGAGCCGGAGUCCAAGUGUAAGAAGAUUGGAAGCUUGGUUGAAGCUUCAAGUUAGUGGAACCCUCACUCGGUUAGGAGGUUGAGGAGAGUGGACGUAGGUAAGGAAGUGUCGAACCAUUAUAAACCCGAGUUUGAAUUCUCUAACUCUAUCUCUUUAUUUUGCUUAUAUUGUGUUUGAAUUUGUUGUGAUUGAAAAGAUUUUAAAAACCUAAUUCACCCUCCCCCCUUUUGGGUUUUUUUUUCUUAAUUAAGCAUAACCUUUGUUUUCUAAUUUUCUUUUUAGGAAAAUCCAUGCGUGGUAUGUCCAAACUCUCCAAGUGGCAGUCUGCCUUCUUCUAAAAAAUUUGUUUCUAUUUCUUUAUUCGACUACCUUCCAUGUCUUCCUAAUGAGUGCUUGUGCUCAAUGGUCAAUCCCUGGUGGUUGCCUCCUUUUCCCAUAUAUACGUGUUGCAAAAUCAACAUCCCACUAUAUGUGGGUUGCCUCUAUGGCAAGUUCACAUUUCCCACAUGAAACCUAUGAGUUUCCACCAAAAAUUGCCAUGAAAAAGUCUUUAUAUGCAUCUCAUGCAAUAAAAAGUCAAGCCAAUACUCAUCUUAUCUCGAAAAAUAAGUAACCAAAAUCAAGAUCAUGCCUAAGUGAACUAUGCCAAAAGAAGUGUCCAAGUGACCUAUUAUGAAAAAAGUGCCUAAGUGACCUAAGGUGAAUGUGUGUAAGCUGGAAGGUGUCUAGGAUGUUUAGGACAAUGCCUAAGCCUAAAAUAGGGUUGCCAAGGGUCACAAUGGGGUUAGAUAAAUCUCUCAAUCAGAGUCUCCAAGGUGGCUCAUAAAAGAUAAGCUACACGAGUAAUGAUGGGCCACCAGGGAAUUAUUGUAAAGCACCAAACGAACACAUAAUAGGACAUGUGUUAGAAUGAAAAAAUGGAGGGUUUACAAGUGGUCUCAUGGAUGAGCUUGAUAAUUUAAAUGACUCACAUAAUGAACGUAUGUGAUGUUUCUCUCCAAUAACAAGCAAAACAUCACUAGCAAUAUGAUGAAUGUCUCCUAAAUCACUUGAAGUAGUCCUAGCAAAUCAAUUAGAAAAAUCACACAUAUUGCUCUAAUGUAAUAUUAUAUACAUCUGUCAAUGAAUGGGAGAACUAAUGACACAACCAUCAUGUUGAUAUCUCGAACCCUCUAAUCUCAUAUGUAGGUGGGAUCACACUUAGAAACUCAUAACACAGUAAUGACCAAUCUAAGUCAAAAUGUGUUGGUGAUCGGAGGCCCAUGAAUAUGAAGUUCUAGGAUGAUAAUGACAUCUUAUAAAGUAAUGAUCAUCUCCUUAAUAGAUAGGUGAAAUGUGUGUGUCUUAGGACACCAUCUCUCAACAAGACUUGUGAUCAAUCCCCAGUCUAGUGUAACAUGCCUAUUAUGACAUCCAUCGUAAAAUCUAGACUAGAUAAUAUAAGGACAAAUGUGAGGGUUCAUCUCCCUUUCCCACAUAAAUUUAAAAAAUUAUUAUUGACAAGUUAAGACCAAACUAAGUUGCAAAAUAUAAAUAAGUCCAUUAGAUAACAAAUUUAUGUUUUCUCAUUUUCUCAUUUUUAAAGAGAUAUUAUGUGCUUCCAUGUACAUACAUGCUAAAGUCAAUUAUACGAGACUUAUAUCCAUCUUGUAGAACCAAAUCGAACCUAUCUAAUAGAUCCAGAUUAGAAGUAUGUCCUCUAUACUCCAUAUUUAUAACACAUUUAUAAAGAUAAAUGCUAAAAAAAUGUUAAAGAUAUAAAUUUAAUGAACCAUACUUUAUGAUUUUAAUUCUCAAUUAUUGUUCAUAUUUAUAAGAGAAAAGUUAAAAAAAUUGAUAGAGUUUUCCCUCUAUCAUGGACAUUAUCCCAAAUAAAAAUAAAUUGAUUAUGCAAAUUACAUUAAUAUUUGUAACCAAAUGAUCAAUAACUAUCUUGUAUCAAUUUAGUAAAUAAAUUUAAGUAUAUCUUUUCAUUUAUGACUAACAAAUAACUCAUACUUGUCCAAUAAAAGCCACACCUAAUUUCUAAAAUUUUGUCUUCACCUCAAGUGAGUGUUACAUUGAGAAAGAAAAAAUAUGAAAGAAAAAAUGAACACCUUUUUCUUUUAAUAAAAAAAGGCCAUAACGAAACAUUAAAUCUCACUGUUACACCUAUCUUCAAUGGAAACAUGAGGAUGUGAAUGGUGGCGGUGAUAUUCUUUGCUUGAAGCUCAUAAACAAAUAUUCCUUACUAAGCCUAUGCCAUUUAGUAUUUCAAUAGUGGACCCCCCCCCCCCCCCCCCCCCCCUCCUUGCAUUUCAGAUUUAGCAAACUUAGAACCAAAUAACAAAGUGCAUUUGAACCCAUAAAGAAGUAAUGAGACUCUCCUAUAUUGGCAAUAGAAGAAAUUUUUGGAGGUAUAGGAGAUUCACGGAUGAAGAAGUUGGGCCCCAAUUGAGAUAAGACCCAAGAAAAGAUGGGGUAGAGAGGGAUGGUUGGAAAUUGUAAAGUAAGAUUUUCAAAAUGUAGUUGAUGACUAAGAUUUUGACAAUUUAAAAAAGGUUUAAAAAUGUAGUUAGCAAUCGGGGUUUUGUAACAUUUAAAAAAUAAAAUAAAAUCUCAGGCCACAUGGUAGCCCAUGUGAUUCAGAAGCUUGAGAAUUAUUUUAUAAGAAGACUUAAUUUGUGAUUUUUUUAUAACUAUAUUAUUUUUUUUCUUAACACACGAAAAAAAUUAUGAAAUAAGACAAUUUUCCUAAGAAAGCAUGUAAGUGACUCUUGGUUAUUUUAUUUAACUUCUUCUAGUUUGGAGAGGAUUAAUACCUUUGCUUUUACUCACUUGCUUGGAUAUGUACACGUUGUUCAUGUCACUUUUCAUUUAAUUUUCUGAUUAAGGGAAUUGGAACCGUACGUAACUGUCUUUAUUCCCUCUGAAACUUGGACUUGGAGUUGGACUUUCAAUCUCAUCAGUCGUGUUUCCAUAAAAAAGAAGAUGGAUUAACCAAUUUUCCUAUGCCUACUAAUCAUACACAAAACUCCACUUCCAAAUAAAAAGGAAUGGGAUAUCACUUGUUAAUAGUGGCUAAAGACUAUUAAUAACCAUGCAAAGAAAUGUCACAUUUUUUGUUCUACGCAAAUUUUAUUCAUCAACUACUAGAACCAUUUCAUACAAUAGUAGCUUUUCGAUCCUUUGAUAAAUGGACACUUGAUGUGAUAACACCAACUACACCUAUAUAUUCAAGCAAUCAUGCGUAUAUAAUAGUGGAUAUGGAUUACUUCUCUAAAUGGGCAAAAGUUUUGUCAUUCAAGGAAAGUGAACGAGGAAACACAAGUUUACUUUCAUCGGAACUAAUAUUAUAUAUUGAUAUGACUUCCCAUUAUUACUUACGAUGGAAUAUGCUUCCAUAAAAUGGCCUAGAUGAACAAACUAUCCAAGAAGUUUGGGAUCAAAUAAUAUAUAUAUAGUUCAUGUGUGAUUCUUUGGUUGACAACCUUGUUAAGGGGUGAGUGAAGCACUUUGGGCAUACCACAUACUACAUGCUAGACUUCCACCCAAGCUACCCUAUAUUCCUUAUGAACAAAGUAGAAGUUGUCAUCUCUCUUGAAUACCAAAUCCUUUCACCUAAUAAUGCUAUCUAAAAAGGUCUUAAAAAGGAUAAAAAUGCGCAUAUUUGAAUUUUUGAAUUAGGAGUGCUACUUAAAAAGAAGCUAGAUAUACAAUAAUAGAAUGUUAUCAAGCAUAUCUCUUCAAAGUUUUUGACCAAAAAAUAUAUGAUUUCUCAUUUUAGGUAGGAGACUUAGUACUCACUAUUCAAAAACCAAUUAUCAUUACUCAUAAAAACUAAUAGAAAGUUUGGGCCAAAGUAGGAUGGACCUUAUAUUAUGCAACAAUUAUGCCUAUAAAAUUGUUGCAAAAGAGGUUUUAGAAUCAAAUCAAUGAAUGAAAAAUUAUUAAAGCAUUACUAUGCUUGAAGGCUAGUCAUUUUCCCUUAAAGUGCAAUAUUAAGUUGCAUAGUACUAUGUGGAUCCGCAUUUUUCACAUGCGUUCCCACUCAUUGUCGAGACUCACUUUUUAGAAGUGAAAAAUUAGUUUUAUUAAAGUCGAAGUUGCCACUGGGGAUUUGAACCCUAACAAAAGGUUCAAUUUAAGGAUAAAAAUAUCGAUAAUCACAUAUAUAUAUAUUGGUACUUUGAUUUUAUGAAUAUAUUGAAGAAAUAUGGACAAAUAUUUUGACACAAAAUAUGUACAAAAUAAAAAUUAUAUAAAAAGUAAAAAUAAAUAUUUUAAAAUUAUUUUUUUAAAUAUAUAUAUAUAUAAUUUGACAUAUUUGAUAAUAAUAUAUAAGGGUCUCCAAAAAGCCCGUGGCCCGCUUUAGGCCCGGUCCGACCCGACAGGCUAAAGCCCGGCCCAAGCCCGCCGGGCCCAAGCUCGGCCCGAGCCCGUUUAUGGGUGGGCCGGGCCGCGAGCCCGUAGGCCUGCUCCUUUAAAAAAAAACUACAAAAAUAAAAAGUAUUAAAAAAAAUAUUCAUUUCAAAAUUUUAUUCAUUGAAUGUAUAAUUACAUUUGAAAAUGUGGGAAAAGUUUACAUCACUACAAAAUAAAUACAUCCCAACUAGGUUGGCACCUAUUUAUUUGUCAAUCAUCUGUAUUUUUCAACCACAAAAAAUAAAAAUAAAAAUAUAAUAUACAUUUAGUCAUUAUUUUCUGGCGGUGAUGGCGAACUAUCAUGCAUCCAUGAAGAUCUUGAUAAUUUUAAAGAUUCCAUAUCGGUAAGCAUCUUUGUUUCUCGAAUGGAAUCAUACAUCCUUUUAUCUGCUAUUUCCCAAUCUUUCACACAUAUCCCUGCUUUAAUAACAUCUGACGCUAAGUUGCAUCGUUUUUUACUAACUACUCUUCCACCUGCACUAAAAGCAGCUUCUGAUGCAACUGUACUCACAGGAACUGUUAGUACAUCACGAGCAAUUAUAGAAAGCACAGGAUAUUUGUGUUGAUGUGAUUUCCACCAUAUUAAAAUAUUAAAAUCUUCUUGAUCUUCAAAUGAAAUUAUAUCAGUAUUAAGAUAUUUAUCUAAAUCAGAUGUAUUAUUUGGAGAAUUAUUUGUUGUCUUUUUUCGACUUUUCAACAUUUCUAGAGCUCCUUUAUAAAAAGAUGAGGAGUUUGUAGAUGUAGGUGGUAAUUUAAUAGUAUUAAUAUCAUUACCAUAUUUUUCUUUAUAAUAGUUAUAUAAAUUAUAUAAUAAUGAAUUUAUUUCAUUUUUAAUUUCUUCAAUUUUUAUUUGGUCAUUAAAAUAAAUAAUUGUUAACCAUUCAUCCAAAGCUUCAAAUUUCAAUCUAGGGUCCACAAUUAAAGCAAUAUAAAAAAUUAAAGGUAUUUCUCCCCAAUAUUUUCUAAAUUUUUAUAUCAUUACAAAUAUUGUAUCAUUAAAUAUUUCAAAACUUAAAUAUUUUUGAAGUACAAUAAAAAUAUUAGUUAUUUGCGUAAUAACUCGAUUUGAAGUUGGAUAAUAUACACCACAAAAAAUGUUUGUUGAAGUAUCAAAAAUUUCAAAAAGAUCUCUUAAAACAUCCGCAAUAUGCCAAUCAUAAUCAUUUAAUGCAUAAAUAUCUGCUUCAUAAUCAUUGUUAAUUAAUUGUAUUUCAUAUAAUUCGACUACUUUUCUAUAUUUUGUAAUAUUUUCUAAAAGUUUAUAUGUGGAAUUCCAUCUAAUAGCCAUAUCCAAAUUUAUAUUUUUUCUUUUCAUAUUUAACAUUUUGCAACAAUCAAAAAAUAAUUCAUGUUUUGCUUGAAAACUAUUAAUACUAUAUGCAAUGCCUCUAAUUUUUUUCCAAUGUACUAUCAACAUUUUUUAAUCCAUCCUUUACAAUUAAAUUUAAAAUAUGUGCACAACAACGCACAUGAAAUAUUUUAGCAUGAUCUUCUUUUACUUGCCAAUAUCGUUUUAGUCUAUGUAUUGCUGCAUCAUUAUUAGCAGCAUUAUCUAAUGUUAUUGUCAAUAUUUUAUCACGAAUGCCUAAAUCUAUAAUUUCAUCAUUUAUUAAAGAUGCUAUAUUUUUACCACUAUGUGGAGUAUUUAUUAAUUUAAAUAAAAUUAUUCUUUUAUUUAAUUUCCAUUCAUUAUCAAUGUAGUGAACAAUUAUAUAUAAAAAACCAGUAUGAGUUAAAGAUGUCCAAAUGUCAGAUGUUAAACGAAUAUUUCCUUCAAAAUUUGCAAAAUUUUUUUUUAAAAUUUCUUUUUGUGUAUAAAUUUUUUUCAUAAUAUCUCUUUUAACUGUAUUUCCAGAUCAACCUUUAAAUUGAGGAUUAAUACCUCGUUGAAUUGUUCUUGCAAAAUCAUGAGUUUCCAUCAUGUUGAAAGGUUGUUCUGCUCUUAUUAUAUAAUCAAUCAUUUCUUCACAACAGUUAGAUUCAUCAUAAGAAAAUGUUUUUAAAUUUCCACUUUCAUUUUUACUUAAUUGCAUAUAAUUUCUAAUAUCUACAUUAUUUUUAGUUUUACAAUUUUCAUGAUGUCUUUUUAAAUGACUUGUAUCUGCAUUUGAGCCACCAGUAAGAAAUUUAUUACAAAUUUUACAUUUUGCUUUUAUUUUUUUUUUAUUAUUUUCUAAAAUUAUUUCUAUUCUAUCAAAAAAAUUCCAUAUAUUUAAAGUAAAUUUUUUGUUUGAUGAUAUUUCAUCACAUGGACUAGACGAAGAAGCACUUGUCAUAUUAUAAUUAUUGAUAAAAUAUUAUGCCAAAAAUAAUAAAGUAAUAAAUAUAAAAAAAAAUGUAACAAAAAAAAUAAAGUAGUAGGGGUGAAGUAUGUUACUCAAUUAGAGAACCUAUGCAGAAAUUCCUAGCAAAUUUGAACUCUUGGAGCCACCAAUGCUUGUUUUGCACCAUCAACAAUAUUGUAUAAUUUGAGGGAAAAAUAAAAGAAUUUAAAAUAUUGUAGAAUGUGAGAGAAAUAGAGAGAAUUUGAUGAAAAAAUGAAAAGGAAGAAAAUGUAUUUAUAGGAAGGUUAAAAAUAAUAAUAAUAAUAAUAAUAAUAAUAAUAAUAAUAAUAAUAAUAAUAAUAAUAAUAAUAAUUGGCCAUGUGACCGUUGGAGGCUUAGCUCCAACGGUCACAUGGGCUGGAGCUAGGCUCCAACAGUCACAUGACCGUUGGAGCCUUUAAUUUUUUUUUUUAAAAUAAUAUACUUUAUUUUUAUAUAUAUAUAACUAACUCAAUUAAUAAACAUAAAAAGAAUAUAGUUCAGUUGGUUAGAACCUUGAAGUUUAAACAUGAGGGGAGGGGUUUGAAUCCCUCCCUCUCCCUUAGGGGCUUUUUUAAAAGCCAUUUUGGCUUAUUUCAAAAAGCCUGUCGGCCCGACCCGCCCUGCAGCCCGCGGGCCUAGCAUUUUAGCAUGGCCUGGUCUGUUGACUAGUCAAAUGGCUCAUAGGCUCGGCCCGAACUGGGCCGCGGGCCUCUUAUUUACGGACCGGCCCGACCCGGCCCGCCCGUUGGAGACCCUUGAUAAUAUCUUCUAUAUUAAGUUACAUUAUAGUUUAUUUUACAAUAUUAUUAUGAUAAUAUGUCUAAUUUUAAAAUAUAUUUAAUAUUAAAAUUAUGAUCUAUUUUAAUUUAAAUGUAUUCAAUGAUAUCAAAUAAAUAAUAAUAUAUGUAUAAUUCUUUUAUUAUUUAUAUUUAUUAUUUUUAAUAAAUAUAUAGAUUAUAUAAAAAAGACCGGAUAUAUCUUUUCAAAUUUUGUAUCGCUCUCCAAGGAUAUUAGAUGUAUGGGAAUUUGUAUUGCUAUCUACGGAUACGUUGAUAUAUGGGUGAUUUAUCAGGAUAAUUAGAAAUUCUAAUUAUGUAAGCAGGUACGGAGUUCUGUGUCGGUGCGAUCUUGUCGACAACAGCUCCAAAUUGUGCAUCUUGCUCAUAGAGAGUAGCGGAAUGCACCAAUCGUAGGCUCAGAGUACCACUGAGUCGUCUGGCAGAGACCCAACUGAAGGUGCCUGUGUUGUUCCUGAUCUGAUCAGGCUUCAAACUACAAGGUGGAAUACUGGUUCCCCUAUAUCAGAAGCUGGAGAUACCCACCCCAUAUGCUCGUCUGGAUGUGCUCCUACCCUUUGAAGCCUUCUUCCGAGUCAAGUCCGAAUUGAUAAGGCUAGUGAGUUCCCAACCAACUGUACUCAGCAUGCUGCCAGGUGGAGACCCUCCAUAUUUGAUGGCUUCCUAAUAUUAAAAUGCUGACCACUGGUCUUCAUGUUCCACAGGCUUAAUUGUGUCCUUUGCUGAAAGAAUGGAUAGUGAUCCAUUUUAACACAUGAUUCACGCCGUCUUUGCCAUUCUUCAUGGUCUAGCCCUUUUAUAUAUAUGCUUCCUGAACUGUUGCUAUUAAUAAAAUGUGGUAUCUAUCCCGUACACCUUCCUGAUGGCCAGCGAAUGCAGAAGCUACAGAAACGGUUCCAUCUUUUGCUUCCGCCACUUUGGCAUCCUCCAUGAUGAGAUCGAAGGUGAAUAAUCAUAUUCUGGGGAUUUAUGUCCUGGAUAUUCUCAGUAAUGCCCAAUUUCCUGGUGCCGGCCUCAUUUCCAUGGGAACUGAUGGAUAACUUAAGGCUUCUACCAUCUGCGUGGUUCGCUUCUAACACAGGAAACUUCACGGCUAAAAGCAAGAUACCAAGAACAUCAAGGCUGUGACAAAAAUUAGUAUUUUUAACUUGUAGGAAUUUGAAAGGCAACCAACCAUCUAGCUCUGUUCUUAAAGCUCCCAUAGGAGGAUCAGAGGCUGGAUUGCUCAAGAUGAACUCAUCCAUUGUUGCACUUAAAAAGAAUUGGCAUGAAUUGUGGCCGCUCUAAUAGGUUCCCUAAACCAUCAUCCAAGUGGGCUUGCGGAAGGUAGCGAGUUUAAAACACCUAGGGCGAUGAACAGUGGACUGUGAUGCUCACAAAAGAGAAAAGGAAGAAUUCAAUAAUUCCUAAGAAUCCAUUUGCCUGUCAUCCAAAUUUUUAUAUUCUCUUCAGUCUGACGCGUUAUGCCAUAUAUUAAAAAUAGCGGCUUCUUCCAAGCCGAGACAGACUGUGCAAAGUUCGCAAGGCCAAUCAUCACCAUAAUCUGAAGUUGGCCUCCUCAAUCGCAGCUUGUAUCCGAAUGCUCACUUCACGGGAUGGAUUGUAAUGAAAACUAAUCUCAGUCCCAGCUAUGGCAGCAUCCUCACUUGACAGCAUUUUCUGCAUAUUCUAGAACAAAGCAAUAAACCCUCAAAGGCUCCUUCGGAUCAGAGUUAGAAGACUGUCCCUCAGGAACGUGAACACUAUGGUGGUUCUGAUAAGCAGUGAUAUUGCAUUAGAGCCUUUUGGAACAAGAGGAUCUUUUCAGGUGGAAACUGUAAACUGCUUCAUGUUGGGCUGCAACCUUUUCUUCAAGCAAUACUUUCUUUCUGUAUCACGACUUAUGUUGCUUCCGGAGCCAUCCCGUGUGGACUGCCCUUCAGUGAAAGAAUAUGUGUGUUGACAUGUUGGAUUGUAAUCUUUGUUCCACUCUAAUGGCUUUUGGUCCUCCUCUUUCUCUUUAUGACAGAGAACCAUUUAGUGAUCCAUCUCUAUAUUGUAGCAUUGCUGGUGCUUUGCAAUACUACACUCUCACCAAGCAUAACAUCUAUUUUUCCGUGACCAAAGUAUGUCGGUUUAUGCAUGCGCAAACUCUUAUUCAUUGGCAAGUUGUCAAGCGUAUCUCAUGAUUUCCCAAAGCCACAAGUUCUUAUGGUCUUUCUGUUCAAGCUUACAAUGAUCUAUCUUUUCUUGGUUAUACUGAUGUCGAUUGGGCUAGUUGCCCUGAUAACAAGCACAAUACUAGUGGGUACAACACUUUUCCUGGUCCUAAUCUCAUUUCAUGGGCAUUUUCAAAGCAGAAGGUUGUGUCUCACUCCAAUAACGAAUCUGAAUAUAGGGGACUCACUAAUUAAUGUUGUUGCCAAGGUCACUUGGAUUGAAUCUGUCUUACGUGAGUUGCGUGUUUCUCUACCCCAACCACCAAUUUUGUUGUGUGACAACAUUAGUGCUACACACUUGGACAAACCAUGUUGAAAUACACUAUCAUUUUAUCCAUGAAAGGCUUAUGCAUCACACACUCAAAAUUCAAUACACCUCUUCUAUAGACCAACUAGUCAAUGCUAUGACCAAAGCUCUUCCUUCAUCUCACUUGUACAAUCUUCAGUGCAAGCUGAUUGUUCUUCCCAAACCACUCAACUUGAGGGGAGAUGUUAAGCCAAUUUAAUAAAUUGAUUUCUUUUGGUUAAUUUGUUAGAAUCAUUUUUAUUAGAGGUUUGUUUGUACAAUUACAUCCAUUUAUCAGGAGAGUACACGUGUACAACUCCUCUUUUAAUCUCACCAUUGUAUAUAUAUGAUACACGACCUUACUCAGAAUUGCAUAACAUUUCCUCUGCUCAUUCCUUUUCUUCUUUGAAUUUUCCCUUACCUCACUGAUUUUGAUUUAUACCUGGUGUUUUCACCUUUGGUCUCUACCUUUCUAGCCAGUUUUCUAAUUAAUCCGUAUAUGGUAUACCUGUCAACUAAUGAGGAGAAAGAGAAAAGGGGAUUGCUGUUCCACCAGCUACAUAUAAUAAUUAAUUACAAUCAUGGUAAUGGAUCCUGAAAUCCAUCCUUUGUGGAUUUUGUACGGAAUAUUGUUGUUAUGUAUGUGGGCUCACUUAGAUGUAUAUUGCUAGCCUGUCUGGGAAAUGUGAUUGCAGGUCCAGAUUAUGAUGUUGAUAUUAGUGGGAUAAGCAAGAGAUGCAGUUAACACGUAUGUGAUGGACUUGAGUAACUUUUCCAUUUCAGUCCAUUUUUUAAGAUUAUGCUUAGUCUUAUUACAAGGAAAGACCAUAAGAAUCAUGAGUCAUUGGCAAGGUAAUAUCAUUCCCUCUUUACAGGCUUCUUCACCUUUUGGUUUUUUUAAUAUCCAUCAAGAUCUUUUAAUUGGAGGACAAUUACAAGUAUAUAUAUAUGUAUUAAAAGGGGAAAAUAUUAAAACAGGAAAUUUUAGGGAAAAUAUAAUAAUUAUUUCUUCCUUCUUUCCCAUAUAGAACUACACAAAAUAAAACUUUAAUAAUUUUUUCUUAUCUUUUUUAUUAUUAUUUUUUCUUAGAAACAUCCGUGGUCUCACAAGCUUGUAAUCCUAGAUUGUUAGGCUCCUUUAACAGUGCCCCAACAUCGUGGUCCAAUGACAAGCUUCCACGCCUUAAAAUCAGAAAAUGCCAUUAAACUUUAUCAGACAUUACAGUUCAAGACAAAGCUUUCAUUUGCUUAAUGUGAUAAUGAAAUUGUUAAUUUCAUUUCGUGGGCAUCUAAAUUUGGACGAGCAAGACCUCUGAAUUCCCUGUUUUUAUCACCAGCAGAGGAGAUAAAAUCUUAAUGGUGAGAAUCUCCACGUGAAAUUUAUGUGUACUGUCAACAUAUUUUUGUUUAUAUAGUCCAGUAGCUGCAGGAAGUCUAGAUUAUAUAGGUAGCAGUAGCACUAUUUAUAGCACUCGAUAUUCGCUGUAUGAAUACAUUAAACCUUGUUUUCAAUACGCAUCACAAGCAAGUACUAGAUACUACAAGGAGUGACAGUCGCAUCAACAUUUCUUGAUAAUAGCAGUGACUGAUUUAUACACAGAACAGUACUGUACACGUACCAGUCACCAGAGAUAGGAUCUUAUUCCUACAUACGACUCUUAUUGAUCGAAGUCACUCAGUUGGGGUAGCCUGGAGUUGGAGGUUUGUGUGGUGGCUUCUUCUUUGGAGGAGGCUUUAUCUUUGGAGGCAUCAUCUUUGGAGGCAUCUUGUGUGAGUCUUCUUCAGCAUUCUCUACAGGAGGAUGGCCAGGCUUAUGACCCUUAGGUGGUUUGCCAACUGGGAUUGGUGGCUUGUGUCCUGAGAGUGGCUCCUCUUCUUCGGGAGGUUUGCCAACUGACGUUGGUGGCCCGUGUCCUGGGGGUGGCUUGUGUUUUGGGGGUGGUUUCACUCCACCGGGAGGUUUACCAAUUGGUGUUGGUGGUUUGUGCUCAAUCGGUGGCCUCUCAACUGGGGGGCGCUUGGGGUAAUCAGCGAGUGAAGAAGUGGUGAGAACCACCACUCCAAGCAACAACACUAGCAAGUAUGUGGAAGACAUCUUUGAGUUUGGCUCAGAUGGUGUAGAACUAGAAUCCUGGGUGGCCUUUUAUAUUAGUUGGGCCCUAUGCCCGAACGACAAGUGUCAUGGUGACACAUAAAGUGAUGGGGUCGAUUUGGGCCUACCGGAUUUGAAAACUUGGACAAUUCGAGAAGCGUCUCCUGACUCCGGGUUGUAAAGUGAAAGAUUAGGUAUCGACCAUUGAAGUAUGAUCACAACUUUUGGCCUUUGGCUCUCUCUACUGCCGUAUAGCUUUUUUCCUUUGGAUAUUUUUCUUAGCUAGACACAAUUAUUGAGCAGUCUAAUCUCGAAAUGGGAUUAGUAUAGCUUUAAGCAAAUUUAUUAUAGUUAGUGGAGGACUUUUAAGAGUGCAGACGACAUUUAACACAUGCAUGCAGUAGUAUAGGGGACAUAACACUAUUCUUUUUCCAAAGAUUCACAUGAUUUUUAUAUUAUAGUAUUGGCACAUUGUAUGUAGCUGGUUUUGUGGUUAAAAUUCCAUAUGUAGACACUGGCGUUUCUCCAUUUCUCACAAUUGAUGUUUACCUCCACGAUUACUAGAUUAGAUAUACCAAACAAUAACACAUUGUAUAAUCUAUCCGCCCUUCAAAAUCUACUGUAUGAUGAAAUGUUUCAUGUGUGUGUGAAGUGUUAGAAAUGCACUAUAGGCAACAUCAUCUUCUUUUGUCUAGGCUUGGGCCUCAAAUUAUACUCCCAUGCCAUGAUAAAUUUUCAUGUGCAUUCUCUAAAGAAGAGUGUCUUGAAUGUGCCAAAUCAUUUUGAUUGAUUUUAUGAUGUUAAUUGCUCCGCAUAUGGAUGGGUAUGUGCUUUAUUUGCUUAUUCAAUCCACAAUUACCUUGAACUGAAGUCCUAUUGGAGCUCUAUUAUUUUAGCAACGUCCUGUCAAAUAGGCUGCUAACUUGGGGUGGUAUGGACCCAAUGAUCCAUCUUAAUCUUGGGUUGAUUUUGUCUGACUCUAUCUAUCUCAGAGAGAACCAGGAUCACCAGUGCUGGUCUGCUUAAAGAAGACUCAGUACUGGAUUAAUAUUGGUUUGGGUCAAUAGCUUAUAAUGCAUUGAAUGCAGAAUAAACAAGAUCAAUGAAACCCAAAACACACUGCCCACACAACUUCACUCUGGUGUCUGUUAUUCAUCAAUUCUAUUCCCACAUGAACUGGUUCAAGUUUAAGAAAAUGACAACGGAUCCACUGUAUUAACUUGGUUUUGCUUGGUUUUGAGCUAGUUGCCAAACCAGCCAUGAGUUUUACCUCUAAUGUCAAUGAACAAACCCCAAAUGAACAACUGCAACAGCUUAAAGAGAAGGAAUGGAGAUGAAAAUCCCUGUUUCUUCUCAUUCUGGGGACAAAUUAGAACAUAACUACAAAGGUUCUAUUAAUUGACUUACUCUACCAUGAAUUAUGGUUCUUUGGUUUUCCAAAUUUAAAUUGUACAUGAGAUUAUUUUUUUCCUUUAUAUAUAAACAUAUUAAGGUUUUCUUAUUUCGUGGGCAAAUGCGCUAAGGAUGAAAGUCAUUUCAUUUGGCUGCAACAGCAUCUUAUAAUCAACAUGCAUAAGCAGCAGUUUUAAUUGAUCGAUUGAACACCGACUCACAAGAAUAGAUAGAAUGGUACAAGACAGCUCUUAUUAAUUUAUACUCGUUACUCAUUUUAUGUAGCCCCAUUAAGAUGGCUGGCUGGACCACCGAGGUCUGGGGGUGGUGUUGCUUGUGUGAUGCAGCGGGCCGGGCAGACACUUCUCUAGUUGCUUCUAUUUGGAGUUAGAGGAUCAGUCUCUGCCAACCUUGAGGACUCUCUACCUCAGAGGGUCCAGGUGGUGGACUCUGGUGUCGGUAGCUUUGAACUCUCAGUAGACUAGUGUGUCUUAAUCAGUCACUGCCAGAGGCUGGCGUAGGCAGUGACGAUAAGGUGAGACAAAUUACCGAAUAGUCAAUAUCGACUGCACUUGACCAUUAUAGAUUUGUUCUGACAAAAGUGAGAAAAGGGAGAAAAUCGGAUGUUGACCUUUAUAGAAAAAGAUAAGAUUUACUGCAACACAGAGCACUGAUUUGUUACUUGGAAACCAAGUUAUGCUAUUAGCUAGCCUCCAUUAGCAGCAGGGUACCUUGCUGCCUGAUCCUAAUCUGAGUUCCCAAGGUUUCAAUCUUCGUUUGUUAACGCUUCAGGAUUUGGAUAUUUCAGCUUCGUUUCUCCAUUUAGCCAACGCUGCCUGGUUUGGAUUUCAAUCCUCAUCUGGAACAUUCUUUUUUCGGUCUGAUUCAGGAAGUGUUUGGUGAUAGUUGAUUAAAAUUAAACAGUACUAUCAUACAAAUAAAGCUGAUCUAAUUUUGGUGGGCAAUAUACCAACUCAUUUAUUCUUGAAAACACCAUGGGGAAUUGGAGGUCCAUCCGAAGUACUAUUUGAUGGGACUCACAAAAAGAACAGGUGCACAUUUAUGAGAUCCGUGGAAGAGAUAACUAUGACAGCUAUGCAUGUACAACAGAUUUAUGUCGAGUUCACCUCGUAGAUAUUUUGUUUUCAGUGUCGGUGGACCCCAAAAUGGAAAUCGGAAAUUAAGGUUAUAUUUAUUUUUUUAUUUAAUUUUAAAUAGAAUUUUAAUUUUUAAUAAUAUUAAGUAUUAAAUUAUUUUUUUAAGGGUAUUUUAUUUUUAUUAAGUAUUAAAAAGUAAAAAAAAUUAAUAUGUUGCUUUUUUAUUUUAAAAAAAUUAUAUAUUUUAAUUUUUUCUAUUUACUAAAAAGUUUAUAAUAAAUUAUAAAAAAAUAAAAAAAUAAAAAACUUAAAUUCUGAAAAUAAAUUAUUUUUAAUAAAAAAAUCCAAAAAAGCAAACACCACCUAAAUUUGAGAUGACUCAAAAUUUUAUAUUUUUUUUCACCUAAAUUAUAUUCAUAAAUUUAAAAUUAAAAAAUUAGGAAGUUGAAUUUUAUUUUGGAUAAUUGGAAACUACAAGAAAUCAAUAAAAAUAUUUGGAAAAAAAAGAAAAAGAAAAACUAUCUAUAUAUUCACCCCCUUCUAAGAAACAUAACUUUAGUUUUUAACUAUUUUUUAAAAUAAUUUUUGAAAAAUGUUAUAUAAUAUUUUAUAAAACAAAAAAUCUGUUUGACAAUUUGAUAUGUCUUUAACUUAUUUUUAAUAUUUAUAUAUAUAUAUUUUAAAAAUAAUUUUAUAUUUAGAACUUUAUCUUUAAUUAUUAUAUAUAUUUAUAUAAUUAUUUUUUUUAAAACAACUCUUAAAAAAUAAGUGAAAGUAAUUGAAAACAACUCAAAGAUAUUUGAUGAAAACACUCUAAUUUGUAUUUUUGAGAAUAAAAAAAUAAAUAAAUAAAUUUCUAGUUAUCAAAUGUAUUUUUUAAUUCUUUUAUUCUAAAAAAUAGAAAAUCGUUUUUGAAAAUAAUUAUUAAACAACAUUCUUAAAAAUUCACUCGUUACAAUCUAGAUUUAAUGCAAGAAUGAUUGAAGGAGUCCUCCAAUAGAACCCAAAGUUAUAAACAUGAACAAGAAGCCCUAGAAACACCAAAGAUCUCAUAUGGUAUAUAUAUGAGCUUGAUUGAGAACUGUUUUAAAUUCAGUUUUUUUUUUUUUUUUUUUUUUUUGUUUUCAAAGUCAAAACAAGUUUACUUUUAAUUUUUACUUCUUUUUUUUAAUUUUAUAAAUAACAGUUUUUUAAUAAUUUAUUUUGAAAACAUGAUUAUUUUUAAAACUUAUAAUGAAAAUAGGAAUUUUUUUUUUAAUAUCAUGGUUAUUUUCCCUUCUUUUAAGGAGGGCUAUUUUAAAAAUAAAUUUACAAAUAUGAAAAAUGAUUCAAACUAAAGCAGUACAAAUAAAAAACAUUUUUAAGAAAUAUUUAAAAAUAGAGAAAAUUAUUUGAGAACAUUUGAAGUCCUUAAAUAGACUUUUGUUUUAGAAAAGGCAAGAUAAUUAUUUUUGAAAAUUGUUUUCAUAAUGAUAUGCAAAAACCUACGUAAAAACCAUAAUUAUAAUCGGCCACAUAUCAAAUCUACUAAAUAUGAAAAGUAAGUACAUAAUUAUAUUUGACUUAGAUGCAAGGAGGAAAAUGUCGCGAUAUUAUCGCCGAAAUAUCGUGUGUCGAAGGGUAUCGACACGAUUUUUCUUGCAGAAAUAUCGGCCAGUCGAUUUUUCGGGAUAAAUCUCGAGAAAUCGGCAAUUUAUCGCGAUAUAUCGGCGAUUUUUCCUCGAUAUAUCUUCUGGUCAACGCGGGUCAACGGAGUCAACACGCUACAGUGAAAGUCAAAUGUGCUACAAUGUCCCCGCUACAAUCACCUCCCCAAACAAAUUGCCAAAUUGCUUCCGAGGGGAUUUGAACCAGCCUUCUUGCCAUUUGGGCUAACUCGCCCUUAUGAUAUAUAUUGCAUUAAACAUAUAUAUACUUAAAGUCCUUAUAUAAAGAAAAUGUUAAAAAAAUAUUUUAAAGAGCAAAUUAAUUAUAAUUAUUUUAUAAUUAAAAGCAAAAUUUUCUUUUAAUUAAUUACCAAAAAUAUAAAAAUUAUAUAAUUUUCUUCAUAAUGUUUUUAAUAUCAUUAAUAAUUAAUUAAAUAUUAAAAAAUUAUAUAUAUAUAUAUAUAUAUAUAUAUAUAUAUUAUAAUUUAUUUUAUAUUGUUUAAUACAAUUGAAUUAAAUGGAUCAUAUUUUAAUAUUAAUAUAUAUUUUAAAAUUAGACAUAUUGUAAUCAAAUAUCAUAAUAUUAUAUGUAAUUUAAUAAUAAAUGUACACUUAUAAAAUUCAUAUUUUUAUCGAUGCAUACAAUAUUAUUAUCAAAUAUGAUAAAUCAUGUUAUACAUAUAUCAAAAUUUUCAAUAAAAUAACUUUAAAAUGUCUAUUAUACUUCUAAUUAUAUUAUUAUGAGGUUUUCUUUACAUUUUCAUGAGUUUUAAACAAUUUUAAGCACCAAUAUUUUUUUCCAAAAUAUCCACCGAUAUAUCUCCGAUAUAUCCAAUAUAUCUCCGAUAUCUCCGAUAUAUCCGUAAAAUCGAAGUACCGAUAUAUCCGUGAUUACCGAUAUUUUCAUCAUUGCUUAGAUGCAACCUUCUUCCAAAUGACAUACUUUAGUCAAUACUUAUAUUUUUUCGUUUCACUUCUUUGAUACAACACCUCAUGGAUUUAUUGUUUAAUUUAUUUGUAAUUAUAAAACUAUUUUUCAUUUUUAAUAAGACUUGAAUUAAUUUAAUAAAUAUUAUAUAAUUUGAAUUUAUAAUUCUUUUUAUAAAAUCAAAGUAUAUUAAAAAAAAAACAAUUUAUCCGAAGAAAGUUUUUUAUUUUUUAUUUUUUAAAACCGAUUUUAAAAAUAACUAGCUAGACACCCUUAUUUUGAUAAAAUACGAAAUAAAAGUGUAAAAACAACAUGGCCAAAUAGGGGCUUAAAUUUUAUUUUUAAAACAUUUUUUUACACUAAAGUGCAUUUUAAAAACACCAUCAAAACCAACUACAAGUUAUGCUUCUUCCCGUAAUAGAAAUAUUUUAGGCCAAAAUAGAACCUCCCCAAAUAAAGACCCUAUACUAAACUCCUUUUCAUUUUAUUAAUACAAAAGUGGGGAAAAAAGGUCUAUGCUCACCUAAAAAACAUGAAUAUUGUGAAUUCACCAUUUCUAUAAGGAAGUUGAAAACUUCAAAAUUUUAUCAACAAAUUCUCUAAAAUCCUCAAAAUAUAUAGGGCCUGUUUCACAAAGUUUUUUAAAAUUUGUUUUUAUAAAUUGCUUUUAAAAUAUAGAAUAAAUAACAGUUUUUUAGAUUUUUUGAAAAAUAAGAGUGUUUGGUAAGAUGUUUUUUUUUUUUUUUUUUUUUUUAAGAAUUAAAUAAAAAAUAAAAAAAUUGUUUAGAUAAAAGAAUUUGUAUUGUUUUUAAAAACAAUGUCUUACUUUUAUGUUAUAAAAAUUUUAUUAAUUUAAUUUAUAAUAAUAUGAAAUGAAAUUCAAGUUAAGUCUUAUUAAAAAAUACAAAUUAAAUCUAUAAUUAUGCAUGAGUUAAAGAUAAAUAUAUAUUUUUUAAAACUAUAAAAUAAAUUUUCUAUUAUAGUGAAACAAAAAUUACUAUAAAAUAAAAAUAAUUUUAAUAUUCAUUUUUAAUACAAGUCAAAUAAGUACUUUAAUUAAUUUUUUUUAUCAUGAUUUCUUAUGUUUUUUUUUUUUUCUAGAAAUUAUUUUAAGUAAUAUAACUAAUUUUUUUUUUAAUGUUUUAUAAAAAUAAGGAUAUUUGGCAAGUUGUUUUUAUAAAAGGAUUUUAAAAAUAAAUGGAUUUUUUUUUUUUUUAAAAAAAGAACAAAAUGAUUUGUUUGAAUAAAUUGUUUUGAUUUUGUAAAAACAUUUUAAAUUCAAUUUAUAUAAUAUUAAUUAAUUAAAUUAAAUUGAAGUUUUAUUGAAAAUAAAAAUAAUUUUGUAAUUAAAAUUAGAUUAAAAAAUAUAUAGGUUUUAAUAAAUCGUAAAUAGUAAUAUUAUAAUAAAAUUAUAAAUUAUAUUUUUAACAUAAAAUAUACUAUUUAUUACAUAUUAAAAAAAAUAUUUUAUUAUAUUAAUAAUUUUAUGGUAUUAAUGAGUUUAUUAUUUAAGUUUUAAAUUAUUUUUAAAAAUUAAUAAAUUUGUUAACAAAUGCAAUGUACUAAAUGUGGUUUAAUUUGGAGUUAAUUUGUUUAGGGAAAAAAAUAAAAAAUAAAAAUCUUAUGUAAAAGAGAAAUAAUAGAGUGUGUGUGUUUUUUUUUAUUAUUUUUAAAAAUCAGUAAAAAGAACUUUUACUUAUUGCCUAAAAAUUAUUCUCUAUUUUAUUUUAUUUUUUAAAUCUAGAAAUAGAUAACAAUAAUAAAAAAAAUUAAAAAAGAAAAAUGUUUUUUAAAACUCAGACUUAUAAUUGCUUUUGUUUCUCAUUCGCACCCCUGGAUUCCUGGAUUCUAAACACAAAAUUAAGUUGAAUCGUCCAUCUAUCUUGUAAGCCAAGAAUUCACAUAGAAGAAAUAAUCGGAAUUUGAUUUGAUAUCAGAUUUAGAGUGGCUCACUACUCAUGCAUUGUCCCACAAUAGUAAUGCUUUGGGCCGAGAUAAACCCAUUUGUGGGCCCAAAUAAAACCCCUGGUUUGAAAACAUCGAUUUUACAGUGGCCCAAAAGAUUAUCUAUGAGGGGAAGAUAACUUGGAAGUCAAGCAAACACAUUUAUCGCUAACUUUUCUCUAAUUAUAAAAUUAUAACUUGGUCUUCUACACGUCUCACUUAAGAGGCGGAGCCACUUGGCACUACCUUUCCAUAUUGUAAAAGGAGAAGAAGCAGAAGGAGAAGAUUCUUAUGCCAUUCCACACACCAUGGCUAGUACUGCUAUGCUGCUUGGCCCGCCGGCUCUCCGCCAUCCUAAUUCUCCCGCCGGCACUGUCUUUGAAGAUGGGGUCAUUCUAACGGAUUCCCUGAUCGUCCGCACCAGUAAUCUGGAGCUUUCUGAAAAACCGCCACUGGAAUCCCUGGCGUAGUGCUCUGUCAGUGGGGAUAUUGCUAUGGAUUGUUUGGAUUCCCAAGCCCACAAUCUUCAUCUUCCCGGGAAACCGCCGAUGGGCUUAACGGAAAACAAGUCUCCGACCUUUUUGUCUUCCGGGAACCCGUGCUUGGACUUCUUCUUCCAUGUGGUUCCCGAUACGUCGUCUGAUGAUCUGAUCCGACGGUUUGAGUUGGCUUGGGAAUUCAAUCCGCUGACGACGUUAAAACUGAUAUGCAACUUGAGAGAGGUGAGAGGCACCGGAAAAUCUGACAAAGAGGGUUUCUACACGGCGGUUCUCUGGCUCCACGACCACCAUCCCAAAACCCUAGCCUGCAAUGCUAGGGUGUUGGCCAGCUUCGGUUAUUUCAAGGAUUUUCUCGAGAUUCUCUACCGGCUUCUGGAGGGCCCUAAAAUUCGAAGAAUCGAAAAGAAAGACUGGCUGGAUCGAAAAGGAAGGAAGAAAAAUUCCCGGAAAAGGAACUCAAUAUUCAAGCGAGAAAAUAGGCCUGGAGUUGAAUUUCCUGUAGAAGAGAAGGAUGUGGAGUAUAUGGUGGAAGAAUUUGUGGAUAAAGAAAAGGCUAGGGUACUGAGAAAGGAGAGAGAACUUGCUCUUGCCAAAAGAGCCCUGCACAAGUAUUCUACUGAUUCUAAUUAUCAGUUCUUACAUGAUCAGAUUUCAGAUUUAUUUGCUGAACUUCUGAAAUCUGAUAUUCAGUAUUUAAACUCCGGUGAGCUUUACAAGAUUAGUCUCGCAUCCAAAUGGUGUCCCACAAUUGAUUCUUCUUAUGAUAAAUCCACCUUGAUAUGUGAAAAUAUUGCUCGAAAGGUUUAUUCUCGCGAGGAAUAUAUAUCCAGAAUACCAAGGAAUUGAGGAGGCUCACUAUGUUAAUAGAGUCAGGGAUAGGUUGAGAAAACAAGUACUUGUUCCAUUACGUAAGGCCCUGGAGUUGCCAGAGGUUUUCAUGUGUUCGAACCAGUGGGGAUCACUUCCCUACAACCGUGUGGCUUCAGUGGCCAUGAAAUCAUACAAGAGCCUCUUCUCAAAACAUGAUACAGAGCGGUUUGGUGUGUAUCUUGAGAAAGUGCAAACUGGGAAGGCUAAGAUUGCAGCUGGUGCAUUACUUCCCCAUGAGAUUAUAGCUUCAUUGAAUGAGGAGGAUGGCGAGAAAGUUGCAGAGCUUCAGUGGGCGAGAAUGGUGGAAGAUUUAUCAAAGAAUGGGAGGCUCACAAAUUGCAGUGCGGUAUGUGACGUAUCAGGAAGUAUGAGUGGAACUCCAAUGAAGGUGUGUGUGGCUCUGGGGCUGUUAGUUUCAGAGCUCAGUGAAGAUCCAUGGAAAGGUAAUGUAAUUACUUUCAGUGCAAGUCCUGAGCUUCACAAGAUCCAAGGAGACAGCCUUGUAUCCAAGACUGAAUUUGUGAGGAUGAUGGAAUGGGGUGCGAACACUGAUUUUCAGAAAGUUUUUGACAGAAUCUUACAAGUAGCAGUGGAGGGAAAUCUGAGUGAAGAUCAAAUGAUAAAGAGGGUUUUCGUUUUCACUGAUAUGGAGUUUGAUGAAGCUUGUGGGAGGUAUAACUAUUGUGAAUAUGACUAUGAUAUGGAGGAAAUUGAUGAGAGUCAGAAGGCAUCUCAGAAGUGGGAGACAGAUUAUGAAGUGAUACAGCGGAAAUUCCAGGACAAAGGAUAUGGAAAAGUUCCGGAGAUAGUGUUUUGGAACCUUAGAAACUCAUCAGAGACUCCAGUGAUGGCCACAGAGAACGGGGUGGCCUUAGUAAGCGGGUUUUCGAAGAAUCUGUUAGACCUUGUUUUUGGAAGGAGGUGGAAUUCUGACCCCUCAGGAUGUGAUGGAAUUAGCCAUCUCUGGUGAAGAUUACAAGAAACUUGUUCUAUUUGAUUAAGAUAUCAAGAGAUUUAUCAAUAAUAAUAUGUUUUUUUUUUUCUAUGUGAAAUACAUGUAAUAUUAACUAUGGAGUUAUCAAAGUUCUGGAAAUUUAAUUAUUUCUUCUUUUCAAGUUUUGUUUGUCUUUGUUAGGAAUUCCCCUUGGGCGGACCCAGCUGGGGACUUGGAUUGAGGAAGUAAGGAGGCGAAAUUGUGUUCUUCUAUGGACAGAGAAAAAAGAUAAAAAUAAAAAAUAAAAAAGGAGGUUAUUUGCAUUUGGAUGUCAUGUGGUUUCAGGGUACAACUACAAGUUCGAAAUUGUACAUAAUGUGAAAAUUCCUGUGUGGAGAACAGCAUAAAUAUGUAUCUCAGUGUGUUUUGUUUGAGCUAAUUGGCAAAUUCGCUUUAAACAUGGUCACAUGGAUGCAUAUUUAUUUGUGAAAUGAUAGUAGUCGAUUACUUGGUCAGUAAGGUUUGUAUCUCUAACUCCAACAUCUUAUUGUAGUCUUUUAAAAUGUCAAAAGUUUAAUGCUAGCUUGAGAAAUUUUGGAAUGGAGACAUUCUAAACAAAGUUAAUAAUCCAUGAGACUUGGUAAAACCGAUCAGAUGAUGCUUACGUACAUGAAUGCCUUCUUUAAGCCGUAUCCUAUUUUCAUUGAAUGAGACGUGCCAUCUAGUUUUGUUCUUGUCUUGAUUGGAUCAUGAUCCCGGGAAUUGAUUACUGUUCUGAAUUUGCGAAUGUUCAAGGUAUUAGAGAAAGUUAAUAUUAUCGUUAAUUUACAUAUUAGUAUUUAUCUAGUUAUUAUAUAUUAGUUUGAAUUAUAAUAUAAUAUAGAAUUUGAAUCAAGUUUACUAUUAGUUUGAAUUACAAUAGGAAAUAAAGUUUGAAUUAUAGUAUAACUCAAAUAUAUUUGUAUAUAAAUAUCCAUCUUUAUCAAUGAGAAUAGUAAACCAUAUUUUUCUCUAUCUUCUUCUUUCUCUAUAUAUAUGGUAUCAAAGCCUCCAAAUCCUAAACCUAGUCUCAACUUAGAGCAAAUUUAGGGUGCAGGGUUUAGGCCCCGCCUCCCCCAACCCUUACCACAAAUGGUAGUGACCUUGUUAUGCCUAUGUAUUGUCAAUGCCUCAUUUUCUAUGGUCUUCAAUACAAUAUCUAGUUUCAAUGUCUCUUUCCUUACUAUCUCCAAUGCAAUAUAUUGAUUUCAAUAUCUCUUUACAACCAAGAGCUCCAAAUUUUCCUGGUUCAAAUCUACCAUAAUUUUUAUUCUCCUUUGCUUUUUACCAAUAUUAGUUCCCCUAAUUUAAUAUAUAUCUCUUUAUUACCUUCAACUCUACCUCUCUCUUUCUUUAAAAGCUUCCUCAAAGAUUUGAUUGCUUUCUUGCAUGUUUUGGGAAAACAAACAUGCUCAUAUUCUAUUACCUCUACUUGAGAUCUGCCUUAUACUCUACCUUCUUCUUUACCUCCUAUAUCAUCUACUACAUUAGCUUCAAAAACAUUAUUUAGUUUGAUGCUAAAUAAGGCUCCUAAUCCUACCCUUCCUUCAACUAACUUUCUUUUACAAGUCCCUCAAAGUUUUUUUUUUUUUUUUUUUGGAAAUUUGGCUUAGAAAGAUUUCAUUACUCUUACCUAAUCUUUCAACCAUCAAGUCGAAUCCACUUAUCUCUUGAAUCCAAGGAGACUACCCUCCACAAAAACAAGGAGAUUGACCCCCACAAUAACAAAGAGAUUGUCCUCCAUAGAAACAAAGAGAGCUUCCUUCAUGGAAGCCGAAUACAUCGCAAUCUAUUUUCUUUCUCUCAAGAUCAAAUCUCCAAUCGGAGCUCCAUCUUGUGGGGAUAUAUUAGAAAAAGUUAAUAUUAUCCUUAAUUUACAUAUUAGUAUUUAUCUAUAUUAUAUAUUGAAUUAGAAUAGAAUAUAGAAUUUGAAUUAAGUUUACUAUUAGUUUAAAUUACAAUAGGAAAUAGAGUUUGAAUUAUAGUAGAACUCAAAUAUAUUUAUAUAUAAAUAUCCAUCAUUAUCAAUGAGAAUAGUAUUCCAUAUUUUUCUCUUUCCCUGAGGCUUCAGAAUGUGAUCUUGAACAUUUGAUCUUUUGGAUUCUUCUUGUUUCGGUGGUUUAAUAUAAUGGAAUGUUUAAUUAUAGCCUACUUUAUCACCAUGGAUGUGCUCCUGCAGAUUUCUUGAGGGUGAUGGUUAUUUUGUCAUGUUUCUUGAAUGGUUUGCAUCAGCUGCCUGAGCUGUUGUUGCUGGUCACUUUUGCAACCAGGGAAAGAAUCAUGGCUUUGGAGAAGCCAGCUUCUGUUUUUGUUGCCCAGCUGUUAGUUCACUAAGAUUGGGGGUCCUAACAUGUAUGUAUAAUCAUAAGCAAGGAAAUUUUAUGUCUUACGCUAGAUAGGUACCAUGAUAUGAUGUUUGAUUGAUUUAUUAACUCUACCUGUUUCAAAAGGCAUCAACAUUAAUUUUACCCUUUUAACACAUUGGAUUGUUUGACCUUACGAGAUUUUCUAUUUCUGUACUAUUUGAACUGCAAUCGUUAUGGUCCUUAGGUCUCUAAACCUUCGUUUAAAAUAAAAGUAAGGAGCACACAUAGUAAAAGUUAAUUUUGGGUAACUUUUAAAACAAAGAGAAAAGUAAAAGUUGUUUUUGAGAAAAACAUAUAGAAAUUGAAAGAUUUUUUAUUUUGAGAAAAAAAAGUCAUAGAAAAGAAAUAAUAUCCCCAUAUAAGUAGAUAUGAUCUAUCCGAAGUGUAGCUACUCUCCUGGAUUUAUUCUAACAUUUUAAAAUUUUUCUCAAUGGGCAAAGGAAUAUCAAAUCAAGCUUGAGUAGGAUUAAUUUCUUAAUUUUUAAAAUAACUUAUAAUUAAAAUUUUUUGGUGUUUUCUUUUUUGGACAAUUUUUUAUGAAGACUCUGAAUCAUGCAAGAGAUAUGGUUAUUUUAAAAAAAAAAAUAAUUUAAAACUCAAAUACAUAAUCAAUGUCACAAAUUUAUAAACAAAAGGUUUUUAAAAAAUACUAUUAUUUCCCCUCUACACAUAAUUUUACUUUUCCGAUUUAUUUAUUUUUGUUGGAAAACAGUCUUCAAAUCAAGUAAAAUUAAUAUGUUAAAUUUGUUAAACAAAUAAAUUUUAAAAUACAAUUUGGAACUCAAAAAUCAAUUCAAGUAAUGCUAAAAUUCAAAAAAUCAAAUUUGGAAUAAAAUGACUUUGUAAAUUUUUUUACUAAACAAAUGAAUUUUAAAUCAAGUGAGAUUUAAUACAUUGGAUUUUUAUGAGAAUAGUAAUUUUAAAAAUUAAUUUGGAACUCAAAAAUAGACACAAUAAAUACCAAAAAUCAAUGAACCAAAAUUGGUUUGGAAUAACUCCAUAAUUUUUUAUUUAUUUAUAUAUUUAUUUUUUUGUGCACACGAAUUUCUUACUAAGCAUAUUGCUUCCAAAUUGAGAAAAAUUUACUAUUUAGAUUUUUUUAAUGAGUUUAAUGGUAUUUAAAAAUAAUUCAAAAAUUCGAAAAUUGACUAAUUUAAUAUUAUAAAUUCAUAAACCAAGACUAAUUCAAAAUGCAUUGGGGGCUAAGGGGGUUGAAAUUAAUGCUCCAUUUGGUUGUGGCCACCAAUUGGCAAUGGCCACCAAUCAACCAAUCAAGGUGGCUAAGGGGGUUGAAAAUAGGGACAAUGGGGUGGGUUUGGGACAGGACACUCAUAUCCCAUUCCCAUCCCAAUUACACAGUUAUUUCCCAUCCUUAUUCCAAACUUGUGUUGGGGCAAGUUGAUUUGUUCCCAUCUUUGUUAACGAAAUGACUAAUAACCUCAUCCUCUCCUUGUCUUAGAUGUACAUUUUCUCAAAUUUGGUCAGGUAUGAUUGAUUCAAGCCCUAACCUUAAUUGGUAAUGAGUGGAUACCACACCUAAUUGCAUUCUUCUUUCGUUGCAAAAUAAUGAGAUUAUAAUAAUCUAGCAAAUAAGAAAAAAUAGUAUGGAAGUUCAAAUUAACACCAUAACUAUCAAUAAUUUUAAGCUUAUAGAUGACUUAAAUGAUUGAAAACUAAUGCAAAAUACUAAAAAAAAAAAAAAUCAUCUAAAGAAUUCACAAGAGAAUAGAACGAACAAAACCAAAUAGGAACAUGGGUCAACAUUAGUUACAGAUUUUGAUCCCUUUCAAGGCCAAUCUUUGAACCAAGACUUCAUCAAAUCUACUACUUCAAAGGCUUUUGUGUUCUUCUUGAGUUGUACUCUGGAACAAAGACUUCGAGGUGAUGCUUUAGAUGAUUGCAUUACACAUAUUUAGGGUAGGGAGAUUGGAGAAGCUUGAAGAUGCCAACGAUGGGUACAAUUGAGUGGUCAAUAAGAACAAUGUGGCCUAUGACUAGUUUGAUGUCAUGGUAUAGGAGUUUUGGGCAUUGAGGUGAAAGCAAGAGCAACAUGGAAUUGAUUUCAAAGUCUUUCAAUUAGUGUAAAGGAGGAAGAAGAAGUGGUAUUGAUCCUAGAAAUAGUGUUUUAGGUGUUGCAUUAGAGGAAAAGAAAAAGAAAAAGAAGGAACCAUUGGAAUUAGUACGAGUGUGAAGAGAGAAGUGUAUACAUAAGGGGAAGUAAAAGCAAAGUUCUAAAAAUUUAUUUUUUUAUUGGUGGUGUAUGGUUGCAUGAUUAUCCCUAUAAAUAAUAGGAGUUUUUUGGUGUUCUACUAGUAGUUGAAGGAUAAUUUCAUAAGAUAAUAUUUAGAGCGGGGUGGGGUGAGUUGUGACAAAAUCCAUACCCGUCCCAAACAUUGGUUCAGGUUUUUAAAAUAUUUUCAAACUUAUCAUAUACCCAAUUUUAUAUUUCAUACUUGUCCUAAUAGAGACAGGUUAGUCAGGGUUACUUGAGUAGCCUACAAAACUAUCAUCCCUAGUUGAAAUGCUCUUUUUGGCAGUGGCAGCUAGAAGCUCGAUCGAUUGACCUACAAGACUAGUUGUCAUCAUUUUAAAAAGAGUUUUGGCUUUGGUUGUGAGUGCAAUUGAAUCUAAACUAACAUUUCCUUAAUGCAUCUACUUCAAUCCUAAACUUCUUACUUAAGCCUCAAUUGUUGUUAAGAUUUUGGAAAACCCAUUUCCUUAAAUUGUAAAUUUAAGAAAAAAAAAAUUAAAAGUGAGACAUUUCUUGAUUGAAUGUUGUUAAAGGUCCCUUGGAAUUAAGACUUGGUUGAAGCCUUGGAAGAUUAGCAGAACUCUCAACUUAUGUUUGAACCUUGAGGAGAGUGGACGUAGGCCAAAAUUUUGUCAAACCAUUAUACAAAUUGAGUUUGAAUUCUCAUUUCUUGAUUUCUUAUUUAUUUGCUUUUUCUUAUUAUUACUUGAAUUGUCAUUUGCAUUCAUUAAUGUUAAAAUUGGUUAUAAUUAGCCAACACUAAUUCUCUUUCCCCUUCCCUUAAUUUCUUGGGUGUAAACCUAGGUUGGAUUAACUAGAUUUUAUCAAAUCUAUUAAGAUGGUAAAAGAAUAAUUAUUCUUAACAUACAUAAGAUCAUCUUCAAUCAAAUGACUCAUUGGCUGAUAUGUUGAAUUUGCUUAUUACUUGCAACUCAAAAUUGUGUUCUAGUUGAUAUGUCAAGUCCUGAGUGUAUGGACAUUAAAUUUGUAGUACGUGAUGAGUAUUUAGAUGGUCCAAUUCCAAGAAAGUGAUUGAAAACUAGUUCAAGAAAGGUGCAAAAGGGAAUUGUUUUGGUAUUUUCGUUUUUAUUCUUGAAGGUGGCAGAGCUAAAAUUUGAGAAAUCAAGCAAAACAUACUGAAAUUACAUUGAAAGAAAGAAAAUGGGAGUUAAUGUCUUGCAGUACAUGAUAAGGACUUCAUGCAUGUAGUGUGACCCAUGUCUUGGACUGAUGCCACACUCACGGUUACACUUAUACCCUUAGUUCUCUCUUUACUACCUUAGCUAACCUAGAUCAGGUUAUGAGAUAGGCACCUCACCACACCAUUACUUGCCCAUUAAUUAGUGACAUUUUCAAGCAAUGAGGUAACAUGGUGACACCAAGAGGGUAUAUUCCUCACCCCCAACAAGCCUAGACCUGGUCUAAAAAAAAUGGAGAAAAAUGACGUGUUGUUAUGCAGAAAUAUAGCAACCAUGCCUUCCUCAUUACUUAGAUUCAGAAUGUGAAGGUGAAAUUGAGAAACAGAAACUCUUGAAACCAAAAUGAAAAUUGAUACUUUUACGAAGAAUUACAACAACAUUAGAGGAAGACUACAUUCUUCCUCUUUAUUCCUACAUUUCUACACUACUUCUACUCCACUCCAUAUUUCUACAUACAUCUUUAAUCAGUCUUCCCUCCUUUAUAUAGAGCCAUCUUCACACAAAUUCCGCAAGGUAGAAAAGAGGAAUGAAACUUGGAGCAAGGUUCGACUACUGGCUGUAGCUUGUCAAGGCUGAAAGUGAACUUUUUUUCUUGGCUUUUCUGGGCAUAGGUAGUAACUUGUAGGUUCCUUUUUGGAAUGAAAAUGGUACGGCUAGAACAUGUGGCACUCUCUUGUUGGAUGAUGUGUCAAGCAUGUGGCAGCCAUCUAGUGGAGAUUAUGUCAAUUUUGGGAUGGAGAGUUGGCAUCCAAUUGCAAAGAAAUAUGACAUCUACCAACAUGCAAUGUCAACCUAUGUAGAUCAUAUGAAGAUAGAGAGGAAAAAUAUAGAAAUGGAUAUAUAACUAGAACUAGCUUUUUAUUAAAUGAGACGGAGAGCCAACAAUGAAGGAAAAUCAAAAUUUUUGGCUCAUAUCAAAGAAUUCACAUUGUGUUACCCUAGGUUUUCUUAAAACUUACUUUUAUGAUAAUAAAAAAUCAUUAUUGUUUAAUCCUUUGUUUUAAACGCAUGUUUAGCAGGUUGUAAAAUGUAAAUAUCUUUCGAAAUUCAAAUAUGAAGAUAUGACAUCAUUUCAAGCAAUAUAGUCUCUAGGAAUUAAUGUAAAGCUAAAUUAAGGUGCAAUUAAGUUAGUUCAAUGCAUUAUUUUAAGAAACUUGACCUAUCAAAACCUUGUCUUACUUCAAAGCCUCUUUUUCUUUUCUUCCAACUAACAUUUUAAUAAGUGAUCGCAAAAGUACAAAAUUAGAUGAAAUCCAUUUCAAUGGUUAAAAUGAUCAAAUUCAAACUUUUUCUAAGUAUCUUUUAAAAGCAUCAAUAUUGAAAGACAAUUUUAUAUUUAGUCAAAGCUUGGACAGAGCCAAAAAGCACACAAAAAUUUAUAUUUUCUAGCUCUCUACCUUGGAUGGUCUCUUGAUCCUACUUGGAGAUGUGCAUAAAUAAAAGGAUUUGAAAAUGACAAUUGACUAAGUAUGUAGUCAAUCAAUUACUCAUUGAUUGACUAGUUGAUCAAUUAACUUUGCAACAUCAUAUGCAAUCCUAAUAGCUAGUCAUCUAAUCAACUAGGUAGUAAAUCAAUAGGCCAAAAAUAUGUUUAUAAUGACUAUUUUGUACAAAAACCACUUAUAUAGUUAAAUAUAAUGCAUUUCAUUUAUAAAUCUUCUAAUUCUUGAAUAACAAUCCUAUCAUCCUUUGAAAGUUUUUAUUACACCUUUUCUACAUUUGUUCUAAAACUUAUACAUCACCCUUAAUUGUACCAUGAGAACCUAGCAUUUUUUUUUUUUUUUUUGUAUUUCAUCAAAGUUAGCUCUUGUACUCAUUGUUGUAUUAUUUUUAUUGUAACUUAGAGAGCGAGUGUUUUCAAGUGAGUGAAAUUGACUUGUAAAUAUUGUAAAGAUUCAUUGAUAUGUAUCUCAAACUAGGUGUACAAGUUGAAACAUUUGCUAGUAGAUUUUCUCAAGAUUUAGAAUGAGCUUAAGGCUAUCGAAUUAGGUGGGGUUGCGCCAAACCAUAUCACAUCGUUGUUUGCACCUUUUUUUUCACUCUCUUUUACUUAGUUGCUCUAUAUAUAUUGUCUAGCAAUAUCCUAAAGGCUUGAUGGGCUAGGGAGCAUCCCUCUGAAUGAAAAAUUUUCAUUCAAUUCUUAGUUGUAUUACGCAUAUAUAAAAUGCCUCAUUGUUUUAAUGGUAUUCAGUCGUGGCACCACAGAUAUGGACAUCUAAAUUUUAAAAGUUUGAAACUUUUAGCUAAAGAAAAUAUGGUGCUUUGCCUUUUUGGAAAGCAUGUUGAUGAAAUCCAUGAGAAUUGUAUACUUGGAGAGCAACAUCGAGAUAACUUUUUUUUUUUCUUUUUUUAUAAUGCAUUGUUUGUCCAAAUUCCGUACAAAUUAGGCCACCACAUGUUCAUAAUUCUCCCUUCUUGAAUUUGAAAACUCGGACAAUUUGACAAUGCGACACCUAAGUCCGGUUUUUAAAUGCUAAAGUGAAAGGGCAGGUAUGGACCAUUGAAAUGUGAUAACAACUUUUGGCCUUUUCCUUUUCUCUGUAGCCAUGUUGUCUCUUUUUAAUUUCUUUUGCAUGAUUUUCUUACCUAAACAGAAUCAUAGACUUGUUUAAUCUCUAAGUGGGAUUUCAUCCACCUUAAGCUACUGUAUUAUAUCUCGGUGGAGGACAACCGACAUAGAGCACAUGCAAGUGGGUAUAUGGGACAUGAAAUAUCUUCUUAUAAAGCUUGUUUUGCAGUUAAAUUAAUUGGAUAAGUAGACACUGGCGUUUCUAAAUUUCCCACCUAAGAUAAUGACCUUAUCCUUGACUGCUAGAUACACAAACAAUUAUACCUUCAAAAUCUACUGUGAAGUGCUUCAUGUAUGUGUGAAGUAUUAGAAAUUUCUUUCUUGGCAACUUGUUUUUUUCUUUGCGGUCUACUGAUAGGUUUGACUAAAAUUAUAUUCCCUGUCCUGCUAAUUAAUUUUCACGUGCAUGCUCAAAAGAAGAGUAUGACCUUAGUGCACCAAAAUCACUUUCAAUAAUUUGUGAUAAGUUUUUUUGCAUGACAUUAACCUUAUUCAUUUAGAUAAUGUUUAGUUCUCAUAAAUAUUAAGAAAAUGAAAAUAAAUAUUAAGAAAAAUAUUCUUAUAUUUGAUUGUAUUAUGAAAAAUAUCAUAAAAAAUCAAAUAUAAUUAAAAUUAAUUAAUAAUUUAUAUAUUUUAAAAUUAUUUAAUUUUUAUAUUAAAGAUAUAAUAUAAAUGAAAUGAGUUUUAAGUAUUAUAUAAAAAUGAUUUAUUUAUUUAUUUAUAUAUAUAUAUAUAUAUAUAUUUAGUUUUUCUCUUUAUUUUAUUUUCCUUAUGUUUUCCUCACAUUUUCCGGAAUCAAAGAUAGGGAAAUCCACAAUUACCUUCAACUGAGUAGAUUCUAUUGUUUUAGCAAUGUUAGGCUGCUAACUUGUGGUGGUACGAACCAAAUGAUCCAUGUUAAUCUUGGCUUGAUUUAAUUUGGCUCUAUCUCAGAGAACUCAAGGAUCACGUCAACUCUGGUUUCUACUAUUCAGGUCCAUUCCCAGAUGAACUGGUUCAAAUUUGAGAAAAUGGUAACAGACCUUUAGUGAUAUUGGUUUGGAGCCAGUUGCCAAACCUGCCCUGAGCUUUACCACUAAUGUCAAGGGACAAAGCCAUUUGAACAAAAACAAUAGCUUCAAGAGACUGAAUCGUGGAUGAAAUCUGAUCCACAUUUCUUCUCAUUUUGGGAAAAAAUGAGGACUUAACCACAAAGAUUCUACUGCCUCAUAGUGCUUUUCCUGAUCUAAGGUUGGCUCGUUUCCCAAAUUGUGAGGUGCACGUGCCACUCUCACGCUCAGGAGUGUAUCCACGUGGUGGACAUAAGAUGGUGGCUUAAUAUCUGGUGUCGGUGGCUUUACUUUACUAGGAGAGUAGUGUGUCUUCAUCUCAUUCACUGCCAGAGGGUGGCGUAAGCAGUGACGCUAAGGUGGGGCACAGUCAAUAUCAUUUGCAUUUGACCAUUAUAAUUUUCUCCCGGCUUUAAAGUAACCUUAUCGUGAUAAUGGAUUACUAGCACUAGUUCAGAUGACAGUCAUGUUAAAUUCGGACCAUGUUUGUGUCACAUUAUCAGCAACCAUGUGCUUGUGGUUCAUGCUAUCUGCAACUAAACUUGAUAUAUAACCAGGUGAACUUCAAUCUAAAUUCUGGAAGUACUCAUGUGAUAGAUGGUGCCUGUCUGCAGUGAGUGUAUCUAUAAGAGGGAAGGCUUGGCAAAUGUUCAGUUUUCUGGGAAUUCAACAGGGAUCUAAAAUAGAUUGUUUUCUUUGCUGAUUUCAAUGGUUGAAAUUUGAGAAGAUUGUGUCCACAUAACACAACUAUUACUGGUCCUUCUGUUGCAAUUUAUCCUCUAAGGCUCUAACAUGUCUUCCAAUUCCCACUUCCCACUUCCCUGUUACUCCAGGAAAGCUGUUUCUGUCAUUGUGAAGAAGAAAAGAGACUGUACAUAUCGAUGCUUUUAAGUGGACUGGAGAAUUCAUAUCAGGUGGUCUGCAGCCAUACAUGCCACUUUGUGAAGGUUGGAACAGUCAAUCACUAGGCUAUAUUAGUGGGGCCCAGCCACUUCAAUCAAGGACAAGUCUUCAUACUUAAAGUCAAAUUCUGCCUUUAGUCUCAUUAUAAAUUGCUGUUUAAAUAUCAAGCAAACAUUUGUUUAAUGCGAUUAAGACAGCACUAACUCAAUACUUGUUCUAUUUUUGGAUGCAAAUGCUUGAUAGUUUCAUCAUUGGAGGGGAUAAAGGUGCAUUCAUGAUUAUGAAUACUUGUAGUUAUAUUUUCAUUCUCUUUUUUCUCAAUGGGACUUGUUGGCACAAUUUUGCUGUUCAGAAACCUACCUCUCCAUGGAAAAUCAGUUGUGAUUGAUAUUACUGGAUAUAUUCAAGAAAGCUAAAUGUAGAUAGCACAAAAUAUUAUCGACAUAAAUAGCAUUAACAGCGUACGUAUGUCUCAAUGCUCAUCAGCUAUAAGCAAGGGGCAAACACUUACUAUGAGCAACUUACGUCAAAAUUCCGGAAUAGGACAUAGAAGUGACAGGUCAGUAAAUAUAGAACACUGCAUAUGAGUCACAAGAAAGGAAAUUACGGGUACAUAGCAGCUCUUAUUUUACAUCCUACUCAUACUGAUCAAAGUCACUCAGUUGGGAUGGGUGGGAGUGGGAGGUUUGUGGGGUGGCUUGUGCGGAGGAGUUGGCAGCUUCUUUCCAGGACCUGGUUGCUUCUCUGCUGGAGUUGAAGGAGGCUUAAUCUUCCGAGGUGGCUUGUAUGAGUCUUCAGCAUUCUCAGCAGGAGGGUGACCAGGGUUGUGACCACAAUGUGGUGGCUUCUCUCCCUUAGGUGGUUUGCCAACUGGGGUUGGUGGCUUGUGUUCCGGAAGUGGCUUCUCUUUGUGUUCAGGAGGUGGCUUCUCCACUGGAGGCUUGUGUUCAGGAGGUGGCUUCUCCACCGGAGGCUUGUGUUCAGGAGGUGGCUUCUCCACCGGAGGCUUGUGUUCAGGAGGUGGCUUCUCCACCGGAGGCUUAUGCUCUGGUGGUGGCUUCUCCACCGGAGGCUUAUGCUCUGGUGGUGGCUUCUCCACCGGAGGCUUAUGCAAUGGUGGUGGCUUCUCCACCGGAGGCUUGUGUUCAGGAGGUGGCUUCUCUACCGGAGGCUUAUGCUCUGGUG